rnacentral:lncRNA from 1 species
UCGGCAAUUCAGUGAUAUCAGAUAGACUUAAAGAGAGAAUAUGAAGUGUCUUCAGCUUCCCAAGCAUUGAGAUGUCAGAGAGUUUACAAUUAAUCAAAUACAAAGUCUGAAGGUUCAUAUGAAACUGAAAUGUAGACAGAGAUAUCAAUUGAUCUUUCAAAGCACAAACUUGUAAUGCCUUCAUACCCUCAAAGAAUUCGCUUGAAGUUUCCAUGAAACGAUUGCCACCAUGUAAAAGAAGUUUGAGGUAUGGAAAACCCACUCCUUUAGGAAGUUCAUCCGUUUGAUCAGUUUCGAAGGAGAUUGCUGUGUAAUGCUUGAAACUUUCACCCAUCGGGAGUGUUUCAACAGUCCCAAAAGAAAUCUCCUUUCUUGAAGAUGCUAUCCACAAAGCAAAUUGGCGAACGACGUCAUGCAUUUUGACAUGCCUUUCUCCGCAAUCUAGCAACAAACCGGAGUUCUUGAGGGUCUUAAUUGAUGCAAGCACUUCACUUCUAACAUCUUUAAUUGAGUCCAUGCCUUUAUACAACUCCAGUCCCCAUGCAUAUCCUACCAAGUUCUCCACAUAAAUCUCAUCAUCUUCAGGAAAUAAAGAGCACAACAAGAAACAUGUCUUGGUCUCCAUAUUCUUCAAGUAGUCGAAGCUCGCCUCAAGACAUACAUAGGCAUUUUCUUCAUUAACAUCCUCAAUUUCAGUCAAUCUACGAUCUUUGAGUCUCCGGUAUGCAGCUUGCCACUCAUGAUGGGUUUUACCUUUCAAGGCACUUCCCAGCGGAACUAUAGCUAUAGGCAAACCCCCGCAUUUUUUGACAAUUUGAUUUGCUAGGAUUUUAAUAGAAUCAUCAGAAAAGUCAUCUAGACCUGCUUUCUUUUCAAACAGAGUCCAGGCUUCAUCAUCAUUCAAACAGCCAAGUUGUACCACGUUUUGACAAUCCAUAGCUUGACAUACUUGUUGACGGCGUGUUGUUAAAAGAACUUUGCAGCCUUUAUGAUCAUCCCCAAUUGGAAUUCCCAUCUUCUCCUUUAAGUUGAUGGAUUCCCAAAUAUCAUCAACAAUGAUAAGAAUCCUCGGUUCAUUCUUCAGCCUUACCCAUAAUUCUUGCUCGGAUCUUCUUCCUUGUUCAUUCUUCAUAUCAAAGCCUAUGUAUUGUGCAAUCUGAUCUUGAAUUCUCUCAAGAUUUGGCUUUUGAGACACAGUUGUAAUCACAACUUUGUCAAACAAAUUCAGUUUUUGAGCUUGGCUUCCAACUUCACGAGCCAGGGUGGUCUUGCCCACCCCUCCCAUCCCCCACAACCCAAUCAUGUUGAUAUUCUCAUUUUUUAAGGCUUCAAUGAUUUGAUAGAAUGCAGUCUCUGAAGAUUUCGAAAACACAAAUUCCUUGGAACAUAGGAAAUCUAUAGUGGGAAGGGCAGUAGGAGCAGGGUAACCGACUGGUCCAAGUUGACCAAAUUUGUUCAAAAUCUCAGAGAUAUCCUGGAUUUUCUUCAUUGCUUUCUUGCUUAAUUGAUAUCUCCAACUCCAAUUAGGACACCAAUUGAGACACCUCUUAUUCAGUUGGAUUUCCUCCUCCAGAGUUCCCAUAUCCGAUAGUGUUUCGUCUACCCUUGAUUGCAAGUUCUGUACAUCAUCUUCAAUUAGUAGAAGCCGGUUUUUAGCUUCCUCAAUCUUAAGUAGUAGACGCUUUCGUGCAUCUGCAAGUUCACGCUUUUUCUCUCGGAGCUUUUCAACAUUUUCAUGAAAGCGACAGGCAUAAUCAAGUUGACGUCCUACCGGCUUCACCACACAGUUCACAACCAGUGUUCCAACUGUGUUAGAAAGAGCAGCCUCGCAAAAUCCGCAGCCCAUGCUUGACAAGCUCAAAUUGAAGAAUAUAAACACUGCAGUGAAUCAUAAGUAAUUACCAUAAAAAAAAAUUAAAGAAUCAAAAAGUGUUUUGAAGGUUAAGACACUACUUCUUAUACAUACCAAGGAAGGGGAAAGACAACUCAAACUAUGAGAAUCAAUGGGUGAAAACACAACACAAAACGCGAAUAUUAUGAGAAAUUAAAUAAACAAAUAAAAUCAUAUACGAGUGUAGUGUCAUAUAAUUAUAACUAAAAAAGACAGUUAAUUACUUAUAAAAUAAUAAUUCAAAAUAUUUUUACCCUCACACUAAUAAUAAACAUGGCCACUUACCAUUUCAAAAUCCAAACAGUCUUUUAGUUCUUACUUGGUUCAAGAAAAACAUAAAGAACAACUUCAAUUAGGUUGGGUCUUUUUUUUUCUUUUUUUGAGCAAAAGUAGGUAAAACUUAAUACAAAAAGAAAGGAACUUGAAGAAAGGGAAAAAAAAAAGAAGAAGAAGAAGAAGAAAAUAGAAAUCAAGGUUGAACUAAAAUAAGGAGAAACUUUCAGAAAGAAAUUGAAGUUGAUCUGCCUGGAAGAUUCAACCACUCGGAAAUCAUAAACUCUAGCACAACUGGGUUUUCUUGGUUUAGUAGCCAAAGGAUUUGGGUUUUCCUUUGCAACAAGUUGGUGCCAAUUGGUUUGCCAAUGACCCAUACAUUUGUUUGGGAAUUAACAGCCACAUGACAUGAAAUAUCUACUUUUAAAAUAUCGACUUAGAAAAAAGUGAAAGUCUUUGGGUCAUAUAUUUUGUUUUAAUUAUUUAUAUGACUUUCAGUACAUUUAAAAUAUCUACUUUUCUUCAGUUUCUUUUUCUUAAUUUUCAUUUGUUAUUAGAAAUGAAAAUGGUUUUUCUUUAUUCAUUUUUAUACAUUUAAGCUGUAUUUUCUAUUAUUUAUUUGUUUUCAAAUUUUAGAGACAAACGUAAGUAUACUUGUUAAAUUUUAUUUAUUUUUAUUAUAUAUAAAGCGCUUUUCCUCAAAAUUAACUAUAAAUAAUAAUAGAGUUUUUGAAAUUUCAAACUCAUACGAGAGAUUUUCAAAAAUUCCAAUGUUAAAAUUAUGGAUUUGGAUUAAAUUAUCCAAAAAUGCCGAAAAAUAAAAUUUACCAGAAUAGGUAGUCUUUUGUAAAAAUUAUAAGAGUAGGCCAAUUUUACAAAAACACUCCUAGUUAUAAGUGUUAUAGCUAAUUUGCAGAAAAACCCUUCUAGUUGGAAGCGUUUUUAAUGUGUUGCCAAAAAAACGCUUCCAGCUGAAAGCGCUAUCUACCAAAUCAACUGAAAACGCUUCUAGCUAAAAGCGUUUUUCCCCAACGAUAACUCCAAUGACUACUUUCUCUAAUGACUAUUUAAUUAGCCAUUGGACUUGGACCCCCACCCACCCUCUACUGUUCCAUUUUAUUUCCUAUAUAACCCUUUCCCAUUUCAUUUUUCUUCUAAUUCAAUUUCAAAUCUCUCUCAAAUUUCUCUAAAUUCCCUCUUAAAUUCCCACUCAAAAUUUAUUUCUCUCUCAACUUUAUUUUUUUAUUAAAAUUAUCUCAACAUUUUUAUAAAUUAUUUUUUAUUACAAAUUAUUCGGCGUUUUUCAAAAUUAGCAAUGACAAAAUCUCUAAUUCGUUUUGAUGACAAGUACAUUUCCGUUGACCAAUUGCAAAUGGUAAGAAUAUUUUUUAUUAUAUUUCAAUGUUGUUUAAUUUUUACUAUUUUCUUGUUAUAUUUGAAUUUAAUAGUUUGUAUAUUUUUUUAUCUAAAUAGGAAGAAUAUCAAUUUUUGGAAACGUAUAUUCAUAAUCUAUUCACUCCUCCAUCACCCUUGAUCGAACCCACUUGAGAGAUGUCGGUUUUCGCAUUUGACUCUUGUAGGUAAGGGGUGUAAGUUGGACUCGACACUCGUAAACGCGUUAGUGGAAAAGUGGAAACCCGAGACGCACACAUUUCAUCUUCCAUGAGGCGUGUGUACUAUCACUUUGGAGGACAUGCAACUAUAGCUUAGGUUACCGAUGGAUGUACUGGAAGUGACUGGGUCAGGUCAAGCAGCCGAUUGGAGAGACGUAUGCAAGGAACUUUUAAGGAGGGUUCUAGAGAUGGUUUUUGGGGCCCAGAUAGAUAUGAGUUGGUUAAGAAGAAAUUUUGGUGGGCUUGAUGAGGAUUCAACUGAAGUCUAAAAGAAUAACACGCUUGGGUUGUAACACCCCAAAACCCGGCCUAGAAGUUAUGACUAGAUACUCAGGGAUCAAAUCAACUCGUUCAAAGCUUCGAUUCAAAUCAAACUCAAUGUAUGCUUCGAAAACAUAAAAUUUUGGCAAAACACCCAUAGAUGGUUAGAAAAGCUGAGUUUGAAAACACUUAUUUAAAACCCAUAAUUCACAUUCAAAAUCACGCGUUUUGAAAGUACUAACGUAAGUAGAUCAUUUCCAGUAUUAAAACAAUCAUUCAUUACAAACCAUAAAUUUUAUUUUCAAAAAAUACUUAAAUGAUUACUUAACCUUGUAGCGAAAAAUUUUUAAAGUUUGUUUUAGUUUGAAAACAGAAAUCUAACUUGUUAGCUCGUGUGAUUUGCAGUUUAAUGCUCAAAAAUAUUAAAUGCCUACGAAUAAAACAAAAACCAAAACUAGGACAAAAAACAUAUUACAGUCCAAAAAUAAUUAAAUCAUAAACCCACAAAAAUUUUAUUUGGUAACCAAUCCGAGCUCUCGCACGUCGUUCGAUCCUAAGUCAGAAGUUAACCUAAAACGAAUUAAACAAACAAAAGAGCUAGAAGCCCAGUGUGUGUCUCAACCCACAAGCAUAAUUUUUAUUUAACAAGCACAUACGUAAAUGUGAUCACAAAAUUUUACUUUAAUGUAUCAAUAACAUAUCAGAAUGUUGUAUUACCAUAAACAUAUAUAUUUCAGAUCAUAAUAUCAUAAAACUGGAACAUAUUUUGGUUUGGAAUAUCAUAAUUUCAUAUACAAAUAUAUCAUACCAGAAUGUCAUGUUUACAGAAGUGCAUAUGUCAUACCAGACCAGAACAAAUGCAGAGACAAAUCCUACCUUCAUCUGCUACACACCAACUCCGUCCAACGAAUCACACCAAUUAGGACUUCAAGAGUCUAUUCAUCCAAAUCACACCGGAUCGUGGUGGUAUGCCACUCAUAAUAGUGCAGCUCAGCUUCCAAACAUAUAUCGUGGUUUAACCGCCGAAAAUGCAAUAAUGCUACUAGAAAACACUUCUUUCAACAAAUCAGAACCACCCUAAUGCAUAUGCUAAAUCACAUUGGCAUACAUAUCACAUAGUUUGUAUGCACGCAUACAUAAACAGAUAUUAUACAGAACGUAACAUACAUAUAAUUCAUAUAGAUCAUAGCAUAUCAUAUUCAUGGUCGAAUCGGAUAGCUUAUCAAAACAGAUAAAAAAAUAUGUAUAACACACAUGGUUUACAAAAUAGUCAUGCUUAAUCACAUACCUACUUAUAGCAGAUAGUAUCGCAUUAUUAUAUUUAUCAAAAUUUAUUUAACAUACUUCCUACACUUACCCGUGUUUGUUUUACUAAAAUUUAUGCUUUCUAGGCUUACAUAAUGCCCCUAGAUCCAAAUUCUGAGCCCUUUAAUCGACCCCUAAUUGGCCUAAAAGACCCACUCAGCCUAAAAAGCUAGCCCGUGUGGUCCACAUGGUUUAUCCACGUGAUUUGCAUAAUCUCACACGGCAGUGUGAGAAUACGACCUGCAUGACAAGCCAUAUGGGUUGUAAAAACACACGUGGUCGUGUGCCCCACAUGGGCUACAAAAUCACUCACGAUCGUAUGUCCCUCACGACCUACCACACGGUUAUGUGUCACUAGGCAGUUUCAGAAAACAACUUUGUUUUACAUAUUUUUUGAAUUUUUGAUGAGUUUUUUGAGUUAGAUCACACGCCUGAUUGCUGAUUUUGAUGUAGAUUCACGAAAGAACACACCAGAACCUAAAAUCAAUAUUCCAAACGUAUCAAAUUAGUAACAAAAUGCAACACUAAAUCAAGAUUGACUCACUAACAUAACAUUAAAGCACCUAGCACAAAGAAAACAACAACAAUAUCUAAGUCGUCGAAGGAGUGCCCAACACCUCUCGUUCUUCUCCUAAAAAUGCAUCGAACUCAUUAAGUACACAAAAUACACAUUAAUACCACACUAUUAAAGCUCUGAAACCCUAAAUGCCCAUUGAAGUAAUUUUAAUACAUGGCUAGAAAAAUGGAGGAUGAAGCAACCUUCUCCUUAAUGACUAAAACUGAUAGCACAAAGGACGAAUGAUACACAAAUUAACAAAAGAAUAAAAAAAUAGAAAAAAAGCAUGAAAAAUUGAAAAACCAACCAUAAAGAAAUAAACUAACGAGAAAGUGAAGAGGGAGGGAGAGAGUGAGGGGAUGGUAUCUUUGUGGAAGAAAGUUCUACAGUUUGGACAUAAAGGCAAGUUGACAAUGAAGAAUGCUUAAGAAAUGAGAUUCAAUUGAAGUUAACAAUGAAGAAUGCUUUUAAUGUGCCCAACAUUAGACCAAGACAAAUAAUUGUAAGUUUUGUCAAAAAUUUUAAUUUUCUUUUUUAAUCUUUGAUUAAUGAGCAGAAUUCUCAUACUUUGUUUUUUUCUUAUAGCUCAAUAAAUCUUUCUUCGCUCACAAGAAAAACAAAAAGUAAGUGGUACAUAAUAACUUCAUUUACUGCUCUAUUCAUUUUAAAAUUCCUCUUUGGCCCACCAUUCUAUAUCACUACCAAUUGGCCAUGCAAUUUCUUGAGCUGUAGCAGAUUCUUCCACUAUGACCGAUUUCGUUGCUCAUUAUCUGACGUGCCAGGAAGUUAAGAUUCCCUUAUAGAAAUGGGUGUGUGUAAUGAUCGGCUUCAUUAGUGGGUUGCCUUCAACACUUACUAAGAAGGAUUCUGUAUAGGUCAUCAUGGAUCGAUUAACCAAGUCUGCCCAUUUUAUUCUAGUUUGGAUAGAUUAUUCUUUGUAGAAGUUAGCCAAGCUCUAUAUUUCUAAGAUUGUGAGACUUCAUGGGGUUCUAGUUUGAUAAUUUCAGAUAGAGAUUCUUGAUUCACGUCUCGAUUUUGAAAAAAACUUCAUGAGACUCUGGUUUCGAGAUUGAACUUCAGUACUACAUUUCAUCCUUAGGCCGAUGGUCAAUCUAGGUGGGUGAUUCAGAUACUGGAGGAUAUGCUUUGGAGUUGUGUAAUUGAUUUUCGAGGUAGUUAAGAGGAUUUCCUGCCUUUGGCUGAGUUCGCCUACAACAACAGUUUUCAGUCUAGCAUCCAGAUGGCAUCUUACGAAGCUCUGUAUGGUCGUAAGUGUCGUACUCCACUAUGUUGGACUGAGCAGAGGGAGCGACGUGUUUUGGGUCCUAAGUUGGUUUUCGAGACUGAGGGCAAUGUCAAAUUAAUUCGGGAUCAUCUUAAGACAACUUUUGAUAGAUAAAAGUCAUAUGCAGAUCUGAAAAGGAGGGAUAUCAUUACUCUAGGGGUGACUCCAUUUUUCGUAAGGUAUCUUUGUGGAAGAAAGUUCUAGGUUUAUACGUAAGGGCAAGUUGAGCCCUAAGUUCAUUGGGCUGUAUCGAAUUCUGAAGCUUGUAAGACUGGUCGCUUAUCAGUUAGAGUUACAUUCGAAGUUAGACCGUAUCCUUAACGUAUUUCACGUCUCUAUGUUGAGGAGGUAUUGGUCUGACCCAUAUCAUGUUGUUUCUGUUGAGGAGAUUAAGGUUAGACCGGAUUUGACAUUUAAGAACGAGCCAGUUUAAAUUUUAGAUCGACAUGUAAAGGUUUUGAGGAGGAAGUCUAUUCCGUUAGUUAAGGUUUUAUGGCGGAAUCAUGGCAUUGAGGAAGCCACGUGGGAACUUGAGGACUCGAUGCGUCAGUAGUAUCCUCAUCUGUUCGGAUCAGAUAAAUUUCGAGGCUGAAAUUUUUUUUAGGGGGUAGAGUUGUAAUUCCCUGACUAAUUUUACUUUGUUUUUGUGAAUUUUAUCAUAAAUGCGUAUCUACUUUAGUGGCUAACUAUUUUGGGUGUGUGUUUGAGGUCUUGGGUUUAAGCCCUACUUUUGGGAAAAUAAGUUAUUUUUUAUCCUAGCCUAUUCCUUGGCGAUUGGGUUUAUAUCUUAUCUUCACUAAACUCAUAUCAGAAUGAGCUUGCUGGUUUGAGUGGUAAGGUGUUAGCUUACCUUAAGGUCUUGUGUUUGAGUCUCUGUGUGAAUUGAAAUGAUAAUUUUUGCUUCGGUUGUCAGAUAAAGGUUCGGUGAAACUGAAACUUUAAGGUAGUUGGAUGUGGUUAGUUGGUAGGAUUCUAAGAGAUAAGGUAGGUAGUGGGGGGAGUUAGGAUUUUCUGUUACCUUUGAUUUAGUUUUUAUUUUUUAAAUUUUAUUUUUUAUUUUUCCCAAAACUCCUCCCCCUUUUCUCAAUUUUUUCCUUUCCUUUUUUCUCUCUAUUUUUUUCUCUUUCUCUAAAAAAAUUCCUCCCUUUCCACUCUACAGUCUUUCGUUCCAACUAAACCAUGUGCCAUUGUUAUUUGACCGGUAUUGUGGUUCACUCAUCACUCUCUUUUGUCUUAAAUUUCAAUUGUAAUUCGAUUUAGUAAGUUUGGGUAGGUGUAGUUAUUGCUUUUGGUUGGUGUUUCUUUAUUGACAGUGUUUUUGUUAAUGCCAUUUAGGGGAAGACCAAGGGGCUCGGGAUUGCCCGUCGGUGACUUAGUUGCAACGUAACUACCAUCGUUCGAUUGAAGGUAAGGGUUUGGUUGAAUGGAUCAUUUUGGUUUCAAUUUUAGUAUUGAUUUAAUCAACUAAUUCGGUGAUUUAUUGGUUAAUUGUAGGUUUUGGUUAUCUCGUGGGAGCAUUCGCAUCAAAUUUGAAUCAGAUGUGUAAUGAAAAUACGAGAAAACGAGGUUUAGUGAAAGUAAAAAAAGUGGCCAGUCUACGCCAGAUGACGAAAGCUGUGUGGUAUUUCUAUAAAUCGAACAUAAAAAUAAAAUUACAAUACAAUUAUAUGGUAAUGUUAUGCGAUAUUAUCACAUUCAUAGUUUGAUUCAUAUCAUACUUAAUUUAAUAUUAUUCCUUCAUUACAUAACCAUUCACUACUUUAAUUUCCAAAUCACAUUUCGUUAUAUAAUUCAUUCCAUUAUAUCACAUUGCUAUUUGAUAACAUUUUCAUUUCCAAACCAUUAUCAUAUCAAGUCAUGAUUUCAGUUUUAUCAAUUACUUCCCUUAUUAACAUGACUCGAACUCGGAUACGCGGAUCCAACCAACACAUCAAAGUUUGUCACCAAGUGCCUAAUAAAUAAACCAUAGAAAUUAAUUGCACCCUGCGCUAGCCAGUAAAAUCAAAAAAUAAAUGUGCCCAGCACUAGUCAGUAUAAUUGACAAAUGGGGUGCCCAACACUCCGUGACACAUAGUUGUCAAACCUUAAACUCUUCCUAUCCUGUGACAUGCCAAUUAUACCCAACCCUACCCGAACAGUUAAUAGGGUAAUAAUUUUCUCAAUUCAAUUUAUAACAAAUUACACAAUCAUACAUCACCAAUUAUCAAUUCAAUCAUUCAUUUACCAACAUAACAAAACAUCUCAUUUCCAUAUAGAAUAUAAUCUCACAUGCAUCUCAUUUCUUAAUAUAAUCUCACAUACAAUAUAUGCUAUUAUUGCAGCUAUACAAUUUAAUCAUUUAUCACCAAUAAUUAUUUGAUCAUAACAAUUCAAUUCGAAUUUAUCAUUUUGCAACAUUACUCUAGUAAUUAACUUACCUUAUAUACUUACCUAAUAAUACAAUGUGUAAUAGUAAUAAAUACAAUACUUUAGAUUAUAAAAACACCAACAAUAGAUUUCAAGCUAUUCGACAUUGACUUUAUCUUUCCCUUUCUUACUCGAGGAUUCCGAAACGACGUUAGCUAUGGAAUAAAACAAACCACACAUUUCAUCAACACACAAACAAUUUCACAUUUAAUUAUCAAAUUAUGUAACUUUUGUCCUUAUUCAAUUUAGUCCCUAAAAUCGAGACUAGCCUAACUUUCACAUUAAACCCUAAAUUUUUAUACUAAUUUCACUACAAGCCUAAUUUCAUUCCCUAUUUCUCAAUUUCAUCCCCUAAUUUUGAGUUUCUCACAAUUUAACCCAUUUCACUUCUAACCUAAAAAUCUAUCAAAUUAGUCCCUAAAGCUUUAACUACUCAACAAUGGUAACAUCUAAAAUCUUAAGCAGUAUUGAAAAAUAAGACAUGGGUUGAAUGAAAAAAUAAGACACCGAAAUUCAAAAAACAUAAAAAUUACAAGAAAAUAAAUUGAAGCUUGAAUGCUUAAACCUCUAAUGCCGAAUACUUCUUCUUCUCCCUUUAAUUUCGGCUUGCAUGAAGAAAGAAUGAAAAUGUUUUUAUUUUAUGUUCCACUAACUUGUUUUAUGUUUUUUUAUUAUAUUAUGUUUUAUGUUAUUAAUUUAUUUAUUUUAAGUAAAAAUUUACAACAUUUUUAACAUUUAAAACCAUGUUGCCGUCCACUUAUAAACCACAAGUAUAACUACCUUUUAAGUCCCCUUAAAUAAAUUCUAAUUAGAAUUCUUUAGUAAUUCAUACGUUUAUUAUUUACGCGAUUUAGUCCCUAUACUAAAAUUAAGCCUUAAUUCAAUUAAAUUUCUUUAUCGAAAUUCAAUUCGCUUCUAAUAAAACUAUAUAAAUAUUUAAUAAAAAUAUUUACGAGUCCGGUUCAUGGAAACGGAGUCCCGAAACCUCACUUUCCGACACCACUGACUUUUAGAUUAUUUCAAGGAUGUUUGUCAAUUAAGCACUAACACAAAGAAAAUACUUGAGCUGAUAGAAAAUAAUACAUGCUCACAAGUGUAUACAAGAAAAAGAUAAAUAAUUGAAGCACAAAGGUUGAGAAAAAGAGUUGUUGAUCUUUCUUGAUAGCUCUUAAUCUUUUGUAAUCUUUUUGUUGUUGUUGAACAUUUGAAAGCUGGUAUUUAUAGUCCCAAAUUGAUUUCCAACCAUUGUGGUUGUUAUGGAAUUGAAUAGAAUCAUUGGGUUGUAAAAACCAAUGCAUUAAUGUCACCUACAACAACAAGUAUCGAUACCUUUGGAGGGGUAUCGAUACUUUGGGCAUUAAAUGUCUCAAUUUAGUUAUCAUUAAAGCCUAUAGUAUCGAUACAAUAGGGUACGUAUUGAUACUCGGACAAUUUAUUGCUUAAUUUUCAAAACAUUGAACCUUAAAACAGUAUCAUUACCAGGAGAAGGUAUCAAUAUAUUUGGUAAGGUAUCGAUACUUUGUAUUUGUCCUCAAUAUUUUUUUAGAAAUAGAAGCUCAAUUCGGUAUCGAUACUAUGAAAGAGUUUCGAUACUUUGGUCAAGGUAUUGAUACUCUUUUAUUCGUGCUCCUUUUUUUUGAAUUUCGAAACUUAAUUCGGUAUCAAUACUAGAAAGGGGUGUCGAUACUUGAGGCUAAGGUAUCAAUAUCUUAUUUAGGGUAUCAACACUUUGAUCCCUGUGAGCAUUUUAACUUGUUUAAAAAUGUUAGAAAAAUUGUUUAUUGUAUUGAAGAACUUCCAAAAUAUUUUUCAAGUACUUGAAAUAUUAGAUUUAAAAUUUCUCUCUCAAAAUAUUUUGAAACAAAUUUUUACUUUCAAAUUUAUCAAGUUUUAUUUCAAAAACAAGUUUUACUCAAAAACAUUAUAUUUUUUAUAUCAAAACUCUUAUCAAAUUAAGGCUUGACUUAACAAAAUAUAAUCUUUAAACAUUACAUCUAAAUAUUAAAUAUUAAAAAAUAAAUUUAUAAACAUAUAAUAUACAAUUUAUUGUUAUAAACUAAUAAAUAAUUCAUUGAAAUUAAUGUUUUAAUUAACAUCUCUAUGAGAAAAAUGACAAUUUAAUUCUUUUUAAAAGUUUAAUAACCAAAUUUAGAUUAAAAAACAAGAGUCAAAUUUAAUAAAAAUAUAUAAAAAUUGAGGGCUAAAAUUAUCAUUAUACUUUUAAUUAAUUCUUUUUCUUUCACCUAUGCAAUUCUAUAAUUACAUUACAAAGCUAUUCCAUCCAAAACAAAAAGAAGUAAAUUUGUGGUUGAGCCGGUAGAUAGCAUAAAUAGAAAACUUGAUGCCUGUGAAGCUAAAACUCUCCCUAUGUAUAGAUAAGCAACUUCGUACACUUCAUUUCUCUAGUUGUUGCGGUUGCCACUAUAUUAAUUUUUUCACUCCUCAAUUACAACACUAAAUACUAUUAUAAGUAAACAACAUUAUUGAAAAGUGAACUAUUAGUUAAUGAAGUCCUUGAGUGUUGGGGAGAAGCAAAAAAAUAAAAAUUAAAACUAGGGGAUAAAUUUAAAUUGUAAUUUUUAUAAUAAUAAAAAUACAAUUUCGCAAUUUUAAUACUUUAAUUUAUAAGAAUUAAAUCAAUUUUUUUAUCAUUUUUAAGAGAGACCAAAAUGUAAUUUUACCUUUACUAUUUAAAAUUUAAAAAAAAUUAAAGAGCUUCAAUAAAAAAAUCAUUUUUGGGGUCGGACCUACAAGCCCCUAAUUAUGCUACUACUUGGGUGGAUGCAAUACAAAAAGUUUUUGAUAUUUGAAACUCCAAAAAAAAAAUUGACUAUAAAUAUCAUGCAGAGGAUUAAAUGAAUGUCUUUGUUACAUGGUAUGGUUGUAAAUGUAGUAUCGUUUACUUUUUUUCAAUAUUCUUAAAUAUUUUGAAGGGUGUUAGAGAGUUGUAAUUCUACAUUUAUAUUUGGAUAUUCGUCGUAAAUUAUGGGUGUAAUACUUGAAUUUGUAAGUUAUUCAAGUUUGAAAAAAGUUCGAUUUGAUAAUUAUCAAUCGAGCUUAAAUUCAAACUAUUCGAAUUAUGAAUUAAGUUAAAAGUCAAACAUUUUAAUAUUUGAUAUCUUGCGAGCAAUCGACCUUAUAUAUUCUUUAAUUAAUUUUCAUACUGUGCAAUGUAUAGAUUUAUUGUAUGUAUUUAUAUAAAAAAAAGUUAAUAUAAAAUUUGUAUUUAAAUAUCAUGGAAAAAAAAAUUAAAAUGCACGUACAAUAAAUUAAGUGCUAAAUUAGAGAUAUGAUUUGUGCCAGUAGAGUAACGUGUUAGAAACAUAAAAAUUUUGGCACGUUACUAAGGUUACUAUAGUAAAUACGAAAAAUAAUCUUAAAAAAUUUAUAAUCUUAGAGGCUCAUAUAAAUUUUUUAAGAAUAUCAAAUUAUAGAUUGAUUUUUAUCUUGACUGCUGAUAUAAAUUAAAUUGUACUAUUAAAUCUGAAAGAACUCAACUAUAAAUAGAAACCUUCUCAUUUGUAAUCAUCCCAUUGUAACUCAUUCUUGAUUAAGAUCAUACUUUUACGAGUAUUUACUCGAACACUUGGUAUGCUAUUACUUUUUUGUAGCUUUUUUUGUUCUCUCGUUGCUUCUUUAUUUUUUCGGUGCCCACUUUCGAGAGUAAGAUUGACUUUAGGCGAAUUUGAAGCAAAAAAAUCACCCAAUACCACGCGAUUUGUAAGACUAUAAAGUUUUAGGCGCGUGACAAUAUUUUGUGGUUGUAAUUUGCUCCAAUAUUACUUUGCUUUACUAGUUUAAAGUGUAAAGAUUAAGGACACAGAUUUGAUUUACUUCUAUGAUUGUUAUCAUUUAUUUCAGGGAAAUGUAGGCUUAAUGGAAAGCCACUUUAUAUUCAAUAGAUGGUUAUUGUUAAGGUAUUAUUUACUUCGAAACCAAGACUGUUCAAACAUGGAUGAAGAGUGAAGAGAUCAAUCUAUUUUUUGUUUUCCUUGAUGAAAAUCUAUUGUUCUUUUUUUUUUUCAAAAAAUUUAUCUAGUAAAAAUAACUUUCCAUCCUCAAUUUGCAGCUAUGUCAUUAGCAACAAUUAUAUUAAUAUGUUAUUGCUUAUACUUGUUCUUUGAAGGUGGAAUUAUGUGUUCCAAACCUUGAAAUUCCUGGCAUUGUACUUGAUUUAUGAUCGGCUAUCACUUCUGUAUUUUGCAAAGAAAACUGAUGCGAAACAGAGUUUUAAAGCUUUUACGAGCUUUUGGUUUCCAUUACUGAAGCCGUCUCUGAUUGUCCUAAAAGAAUUAAGAGUUGUUUCUAAUGAUCUGAGUGGUUUUCUCCAAUCCGGUUUUAACUUUGGAUUUGAACUAAAAAAUCUUAUUAAACUCCAUAAGUCUCACUGCUUUUAAUCUGAAUUAUAAAAGUGAGUACUUUUGGAUUGGGUUGUACUUAGCAGAGAACUUGUGUUCCUUCCUUGAUGAGGAGAAAUUUGAAGACACUGUUCGUAAUUAUGCUCUUAUAUCCGCACUCUUUGUUUUUGUUCUUUUCUUUUAUUCUAUCUUUUUAUAAUUUAAAUCUUUUAAUCUGUUCAUGCAUUUUUUUGUGUAUUUAUUGAUUAAUAUAUUUACUUUAAAUUUAAUAGAUUGGAGUAAGAGUCAGGUUCUAAAUAUCUCACCUGGAGGAGGACUACAAGCAGCUCAAUUUCAUUCUGGUAUUCAUUCUCCCACAAAGCAUCUUUAACUAUUCAAACUUUCAUAUACAGAUUAAUUCUCAUUGUAGACCCUGUACAAGACAUAGUUUUGUGUUGAGGUUAAAUUUAAACUAGGGUCAUGGUUGAUUAGAUUUAUGGGUGUCUGAGUUGAUUUAAUGUAACUAGUCAAGGCAUAGUUUUUGUGUUGAGGAGUUGGUAUUGGGAAAUUAUGAACACUAGUGCUGGUCUUCUUAGGAAAUUUGUUUAAAAUCUGAUCGCCUUCCUUAUUAAGUAUUGUUUUUCUUUGGCGAGGGUCGCUUGGCAUGGUCUUUGUAUAGUAUCGUACCUAUUUCAAUGUGAUAUUACUAUUUUAGGUUAAAUGUAUUCAUUUAAUUACAUAAGUAACACGUUUCUUAUUUUUUUAAGAUAUAAAUAAAAAAACAUAAAUAGUUAUAAAUAAAUAAAAGAAACACAUAAACAAUAAUAUUAUUAAUUAUAUAAUUAAACAAUAGUUGAUUUUAAAUGAUUUACUAAACCAAUUUUAAACUAGCUAUAGCAUGAAGAUAAUUAAUUUGGAUAUGUUUCAUUUAUAUUAGGUUAAUUUAAUAAAUAAAUUUUAAAUUUUUAUUAACGUUGAUUUAUUUAACUUAAAGAACGAAUAUAAAUAAACAAAGAUCCAACUCAUAAACUAUUUAUUUACGGCCUUAAACUUGACUUAUAUCCAUUUAGAACACUUAAGUAACGGUAAUUUAUUGUCAACUUUAGACUUCAAGAACUACGAAAUGAAUAACAGUUGGACGGAUUUGUCAACGAAUAUCAAAAUGGAGUAUAAAUUUUUCUAAAUUAGUUUGCAUUUAAAUUUUUAUAUUUAAAUAAUUUAUUUAAAGUGAUUGAUCUACAAGUUAACUCACGCAUUACCUUAUAUUUAUACUUUCUCAGAGAAAAUUUUAAUUUUUGUAAUUAAUAAAUUUAAUUUACAAUUAAUUUUUACAUUAACUAACUAAACUUUUAUAAAGAAAAUUAGAAACCCCAUCGGUUAAAACUAGUUAUUUUUCCUUUUAAAAAAUCUAGUUAUUUUUUUUAAAAAAAGUAAUAUUUUAUUAUUUUAUAUAUUUUAUAUAUUUUAUAUAAAAUUAUAUAAAUAUUUUAUUUUAUUUUUCGUUAUUCUCUACAUCUGUUUUAUGUUCAUGUUCGGGUUUAUUAAACUAAUAUUAAAAUUAUGCAUUUUAAUAUUUAUAUUAAUAUAUUAAUUUAAUAUAAAAACAUAUAUUUUAAUUUUUUUAUUUAUAUAAAUUAAUAUAUAAAUAUUUUUAUUGUUUUAUUUUUAAAAAAAAUUAAUAAUAUUAAUAUAUUAUUUUAAAAAAUAAUUAUUUUAUUUUAUUUUUUUAAUAUUUUAUAAAAAUUAAAUGUUAUAAUAUUUUUAUUUUUUUAUUUUAUUAUAUUUUAAUGUAAAUAUUUUGUAAAUACUAAUAUUUUAUAUUUUAUUUUAAACUAUAUAAAAAAAGGAUAUUAAGGGUAAGACGAUAAAUUAAUAAAUAAGACUUAUGUUUUAACUCAUAGAAAAUACAUGGUAAGAAGAUUAACUGUUUGACACAAGUGUAAACCGUGUUACCCUAUCUCGUACCCCUAAUAUUGUAUCGAAAAACACAUGGUAAGAAGAGUGAUAUAUAUCCAAUUUUCAACAACCAAACAAUUUGAUGUAGUAGCAUCUAUCUUUUAUCCAUCAUUUGAGAGUUGAGUGUUAUUUAACCUAAAACUCCUUUUUUACAUCAAGCCUACCAAAUGUGACCAGACUAUCAAUUUGACUAUAAUUCUAUAUAAAACGAUAAAAAAUAGAGUAUUUUUAAAUUAGAAAAUCUUAAAAAUAUAUAAAUUUGAAAAUUAAAUAAAAAUAGAUAAAAUUUUAAAAAUAUAUAUAUAGAUAAGUGGGAGAAAAUUAAGGAAAAUUAUCUUUCAUUAUAAGAAAAUAAUGAGAAAAAAAAUUGUAUUUGUUUUUUCAGUUUGGAUUUUGAAUAAUGUUGAAAAAUUUGAAGUUGCCGCAGUGUGCUAUGGGAAUUGCCCACUACCCCAACCACUAUGACAAACAACAUGCCAUAUUUGGAAGAUUGGCAAUUUAUUGAUUUGUAUCUUUGGGUUGAGCUAAAAUUGUAGGAUGAAUCAAGCUCGUUAAUAAAGAUCAUAUCACUUGGAGAAACUUAUUUAGAAGAGUGGAUAGGAUUGGAUUGGCUUAUAUCAAAUCCUAUGGAUAAAGGAAGUUGGAUCGGAUCGAAAAAGUGAAGAGUUGGCUGUCAACUGUCAAUGUUUAUUGUGGUUGUUAAUAAUAUUAUAUUGUAUUUAGCUAUUUUAGUUGUUGUUUAGUAAGGAUUGUGAUAGAUCUUCAUUAUGUUAGCAAGUCUCGAAAUCUCUAUAUGUAAUUAAGAGACUUGUAUACGUUGAUGCACAAAUUAUUAAGAUCAUUUAUAUGUUCAAGUGAGGAACAUUGUUUUGCAAGAGUGCAUUUGUGAUUGUAAAACUUUGUAUUGUGGUUUUGCAAACUAAGUUCUCUGAGGGAGAAUUUAGUGGCGAGUGAUCUAGUCUUUGAAAGUAUAAGAGUGAGGAAUCAUCAUUGGGGUGUGAUACAUUUAGGUUCACUGGUUGUAAUUGUUUAAAUAUAGUGAUUCUACUGAGCAAGGCUUCACAAGUGUAUGGAAACUGAACUGCAUAAAUAAACUUUAAUGUUUCCUAUUUUGUUUUUGCUUAUCACAGUGCUUGCAGAAGUACACACUUUUGUAGUCACUACUGCUCAUACUUUGCUUGUUACUUAGCAACAGUUUUAGAUCAACAACAAAUCGUUUAAAUGAAUUAAAUUUUAUUAAUGGAGUUUGAAAAAGAAUAUUUUCUGGUAUAUUUUGUAUUUUUUUUUACUAAAAGAAUGGGAUUAAAGUCAAUUUCACAAGUCUUAGUGAGAUUAGUUUGAAAGAAGUUCUUCAACAGCAUGGAACUUGACUUGAAGGCAUUACUAAUUUUUUCCUAUUUUGUUUUAAAUUUGUUAUUGGAUUCUAUUAAAUAAUAUUUUUCUUUUUUUUUUGAAAUUUCGACUGGAUUAAAAUAAAAAUUGAAACAAACAAUCCCUCGGGCUUUAGCCCAACAACUGAAUCCUAAGAAAAAACUGCAAUAAACAGGCUAACAACCAUAUAGCCCACUUAAAAGUAAAAACAAGAAAACAAAUUCCACCCUCCAGCCGAACGUUACAGUUGUCCUCAUAAAUUCAUCUGACUUUUCUCUGCCCAAGACAACUGAAAAGUAAAAGCAAAAUCCCCUUAAAUCUUUAACUUUCUGAUUGCUUUUACAACCUGCAUUAACUCUUUCAUUUCAAACGUCAUUCCAAAUGUCGAACCCCAUCAUCUUCUCCCCUCUCCUUUAACUCUGAAUAACCAAGGCGAUUUAACUUUGAUACAUCACAGAUCGAUCGUGAAGUCUCUCCCACCAGGUACUUCUCCUCUCCCUUCUGUAGUGAUCUUUUGCUAAUCUAUGCGCCUCCACAUUUUCGGCCCUUGGGAUGAAAUAGAAUCUAACUUUUUGGAAAAACUCUUUUAAGCUUUGAAUGUCACUGAUGAUUGCUCCUAUUUAUGAUCUGUCUCGUCUUCCACUUUGACAUUUUGUAAUCACUGUUUUUGAGUCUCCUAUUAUGUUAACAGUCUGAUAUCCCAACUGGAUCCCUAACCUUGUUGCUUGAAGUCCUGCAUAUGCUUCUGCUGCAAACGGAGAUGCAACAUUUUCAUGAAGGAUUGAUUUUGCUUCAACAAUUCUACCCUCCUUAUUUUUAACAAUAAGACCUGAUGCAGAUCUGUGAUUCUGUGAGUCAAAAGCCGCAUAAAAAAAUGGACUUAUUUGCCCUUUGUACUCGCUGUUUAGGCCUUGCACUGGCUUCCAAGGUGAUUACCCUUUCCUUGAUUCCUUCCAGUUCUGAAAUGUAGCUUUUAAUUUGUCUGGAUAUAUCCCAACUGGUGCUAUAUUUAUCUUCGUAUAUUAGCUUGUUCCUGCUUGUCCAGAUUACCUACAACCCGCAACAAAAUCCCACGCACUGUUCAUUUGUCCCUUCUCUGAAGACCCACGUAAGCCAACUCCAUAAAUCUAAAUGAUUAUUGUUAAGUACCCAGGAGAAAUUUAAAUGACUCCAAAUUUCUGUCACUAUAGGGCACCGUUGGAAGACAUGGAUGCAAUCUUCUUCUUCCUGACCACAUCUCGAACAACUUCCUUCCGUCAUUACUCUUCUUAGCUUAAGAUUGGAAAAAGUGGGAAUGUAAUUCCACGCUAUUUUCCACACUGUAAUUUUAAUUUUAGAAGGCAUAUGUAGAUUCCAUAGUUUCCUGUAAAAGUUUUUAGAAUCGACCUGUAAAUAAUCAUUAGGAUCUAUUGUAGAUUCCUGUAAUAGUUUAUAGUCGCUUCUUACUGUAAAAAUCCCAGUUGCCUCUCCUCUCCAUACUUGGAUGUCUUCGUGAAUAGUCUUUGAAAGCGGGAUCUGCAAUAUCUUCCCUGCAAUAUUCGUAUUAAAGGUACUGAUAAUCAAAUCUCUGUUCCAUGUUCUACUUUCUUCAUUUAUUAAGUCGGCCACCACUUUGAUGCUUUCACCAUUGUUGUUGUUCUGUGAUCUGUCUACAGUCACUCCCGGCACCCAGCGAUCAUUCCAUAUUGAGAUAUGAUCUCCUACCCCUACCCUCCAGCAUAAACCGUCCAUCAAAAGUUUUUUUGACGACCAAAUACUCCUCCAGGUGAGGGAAGGUAGGUUACUUAAAGGAGCAUUCAUGAAGUUCGUUCUCGGAAAAUAUUUAGCUUUUAAAACUCGGGCUAACAAAGAACUUGGAUAAUUAAUAAGACGCCAACCCUGCUUAGCUAAUAAUGCUAUAUUGAACUUAUCUAAACAUCUAAAGCCUAAACCACCCAAUUCUUUUGCUAAACAAAUGUCCUUCCAUGCGCACCAAUGUAUACCUUUACUCCCAUUGUUUUUCUGCCACCAAAAUUUUGCAAUAAUACACUCUAAUUCCUUACAGAAAGACUUAGGGAGUAAAAAACAAGACAUCGCAUAUGAUGGUAUAGAUUGUAAAACUGCUUUGAUGAAAAUCUCCUUACCUCAUUGUGAAAGAUAUUAAAUGCUCCAGUUGUCAAUACGUUGCUUGAAUUUAUCUUUCAAAAUUUGGAACGCUGCCUUUUUCCUCCUUCCCACCAAGUUAGGUAGCCUUAGGUAAUUUUCCAUAUCAUCAGAUCUUCGCACCCCAAGAAUUUGGGUUAUAGUACGUCUUUCCCCCUCUUGUGUGUUGCUGCUAAAAAAAAUCGUAGACUUCGAAUAAUUCACUUUCUGACCUGAACAAACUUCAUAAUGAUGCAGAAUCUGUUUUAACUGAAUUGAACUCCUCUCUGUAGCAUCCCCAAACAGCAUACAAUCAUCUGCAAAAAGUAAAUGUGAAACCUACGGCCCACUUCUGCUUGCCUUAACACCUCUGACUUUCUUCUCCUGCAUUCCUAACUUCAUGAGGCUAGAUAGACCUUCUCCACAGAAUAAGAAUGGACUCAACGGAUCCCCUUGUCGUAGUCCUCUAGUGGGAGAAAAAGUUUCUCCAAUGUGUCCAUUAAGAACCACCGAAUAAGAAACUGUAUUCACACACCUGAAUAGUGAAGCCACCUAUUCCAAGUCGAAUCCCAUUUUCUUCAUCAUCUCUUCCACAAAAUUCCAUUCUACCCUAUUGUACGCCUUACUCAUAUCUAACUUGACUGCCAUAAAUCCUUUUUUCCCCACCUUCUUUUGUUUUAACGUAUGGAGUAAUUCGUAAGCCAGUAACACAUUACCCGAGAUCAAUCUCCCAGCUAUAAAAGUACUUUGUGCAGAGUCAAUGCAUGUGUCUAGUACUUUUCGAAUACGAUUUGCAAUAACUUUAGCCAUUAAUUUGUAUAUAACAUUACACAAACUAAUGGGCCUAAACUGUGUCAUCUCCUUUGGGUUUGAAGUUUUAGGGAUUAAAACAAUAUUUGUUUUGUUGAUUGGGCCAAUCUCCAUCCCUCCAUUCAAAGGACUCAGACAAAAAGUAAUUGCCUCUUCCUCAAUAAUUGCCCAACAUUUUUGAUAAAAUAAUGCAGGAAAACCAUCUUCCCCUGGUGCCUUCGUGGGUCCUAAUUUCGACGACGCCUGCUGGAUCUCUUCCGUUGUAUAUCUCUCUUUUAGCGUUAGAUUGUCCUCAUCCGAUAUACAAUGAGAAACUCCAGAUAGAACAUGCNNNNNNNNNNNNNNNNNNNNNNNNNNNNNNNNNNNNNNNNNNNNNNNNNNNNNNNNNNNNNNNNNNNNNNNNNNNNNNNNNNNNNNNNNNNNNNNNNNNNCAUACUGCAAUUUACUUAUCAAAUUCCUCUGCCGCUUCUGUGUUGUUUGUAUAUGGAAAAAGGUUGUAUUUUUAUCCCCAAGUUUUAGCCAGUUAACCCUCGCUCUUUGUUCCCAAUACCGUUCAUCUUUAUCAAUCUCCAAAUUCAGUUGGAUUUUCGUAUCAAUCAGAUCGACUAAAUUAUCUUCAUCUCUUUCAGCCUCUAAUAAUGUGACCAGUUUAGAGGAUAACUAUUUUUUCCUUCCUUCUCUAGAACUUCGAACUCGUCUAGCUCAUUGCUCCAAUCCCCUUUUCAUACUAUUUAACUUGCUUAAGAACUUGCCCUCAGAAUGCCCCCAAAUAUUUUUCACCUCAAUUAAGAAUGAAUCCUCCAGCACCCACCAUGCUUCAAACUUGAAAACUUUUUGAGUUCUCUCUCUAAAGUCCUUUUUUGUAUUAACCAAUAAAGGACAAUGAUCAGAAAACGUAUGUGGAAGGUGUAGAAUCUGAAAUUCAGGGAAUUUUUGCAACCAUUCUUCAUUUGCCACUCCCCUAUCCAAUCGCUCUUGGAUAUUAUUUUCAGGAAGAUUCUCUCUUUCCCAUGUAAAUCAAUUUCCAAUAAACUCCAUAUCAAAUAGUCUGCACUCCUUUAAUGUCUUACGAAAAACUUCCAUUCAUCCUUCCUCUGGCGGUAAACCACCUUUUUUUUCAAAACUAUACAUAAUUUCGUUAAAGUCUCCACAAACCAUCCAUGGUAGCUCCCCAACGGUGCCUAAAUGUCGUAAUAGGUUCCAUGCCUCUGCUCUUUCUUGUGGAUAUGGCGACCCAUAAAAACCUGUAAACCUCCAUUUGCACCCUUCUUCUGCUUCAUCAAUGAUCACAUCAAUAUGUCGUUUUGAAAAACUUUAAAGUUGAACGCUUUCCCCUUCUUGAAACCUUAAAAGCUCCCACCUCUAGAACCAUCAGAGCCAACAUCAAUGCCAUUAACAAACCCACAACUUCUUCUAACUUUUUCCAUAUGAUUACUAUUUAUUUUUGUCUCCAUAAAAAAGAUUAUAUGGGGAUUAUGUAGCUUCAGCAUAUACCGAAGUCUUCGAAAUGUCCGUGGACUCCCCAAUCCACGAAUAUUCCAACUUAAAAUUUUCAUUGCGAUCGGUCGGCUUGCCACUUGGCAGUCGCCGAUAAUUGAUGACUAACAUCUACUACUUUCUUGCUCCUUUCGGCCAAAAUGUUAGUCCCCUCUUUGGCCAAGGUAUCUUCCAUCUCCCUUCUAUUUCUCUUUUUGCCCUCCUCUCCAACGAUCACUUCAUCUUCAAGAUCAUGUUCCAUUGAACUAUUCUCCAAGUUAUCUCUCCAGUUCCUAGUACCCUUCGCUGUGUAAUAUUCCCUCCCUGCCAAAUUUAUUCCCAAAACUGGAUCAAGAAAUUUACUGCUGCCUCUACUUUCCAUUGGACCCCUGACAUAAGUCCCCCUAUUCUGCCUUUCCCCAUUACUUCCUCUCCCUUGUACCUCGCUUCCUUCUCGCAACCAUACACUUGUCAUCAUUUGAGCUCGACGAGACUGCGCCUUCAGUGAUAAAUCCCAUCCCAUCUCUUUAGCUUCUAGUCCCACUUCCAUCCUUACUUCAUAAAAGGAAUCAUUAUGGCCCAAACGACCGUAAUAAAAGCAAAAAAGUGAGUCUUUCAUAUUUAAAUCGAACAUAUGAGCACUUUCCAUAGCACAUUAUUUGUCUUUUCCUUUUUAAUGGCCGCCUUACAUCGAUUCUGACACGUAUCCUCAUGAAAUUUCUACUUUCUCUCCCCAGAUUUGAUCCAUCAUAUUCCAUAAACUCUCCUAUGAAAUUCCCCAUUUGAAUUGCCAAAUUUUCGGAUACAAAACCAAUUGGGACGUCAUGUAUUAGGACCCACAAAGGUGAGUGUAUUAAAGGGAUCGUCAAAGGAUCCUCCCCCCUUAGAAACUUAUGGAUGAUCAGUAAGUGAUUGUUAAAUGUCCAAGGUGAACCAUUUAAAACCCUUUCAAGAUCCAUUAUAUGAAAAAAUUGAAAUAAAUACCUCUUCUCCCCCAGAUCUCUAAUUUGAACUCUCUUCACCGAAUGCCACACGUUUGCCAUUGUAUUACUCAUUGCUGGAAAAUGGACAAUACUUGCUGUUAAAAAACAUCCUACCAAUUGCAAAACUUCCACUUCUCCAUUCGUUUCCACAUCAGAUUGAAUCUGGAGAAUUAUGUCUUCCUCCUCUAACAAGAAAAUCUGUAUAAAGCAACGUCGUCACAUCAAGAUCAAAAACAAAAACCAAAAAAACCUAAAACUGCUAAAAAGCAGACAGAGACGUGCUAACUUAGCAGACUUUACUUUAUUGUUUCAACCAUUUUAAUUAUUAUUAUUAGAAAAUUUUAAAGAGAGUAAAUAAUUAGUCAUGGUUAAAAUAUGUUCCAAGUUGUGUUUUAUCUUUAUCUUUUUUAUGUCUCAAUAUUGAACAAUCUUAAGCUUUACUGCAAUAUAAUAUUAAGUUUUCUUGUAUGUUUCUAAUCACAUUUAAGCUUUGUGCAGAAUGAAUAUUAUAUUAAGAUAUUGAAAUUUAUGUAUUUUUUAAAUCCAUUUUCAUGAUUUAUGGCAAUGUUGAAUAUUUUGUUGUUGCAGAAAUCAAAAUUUUUAUAUAGAAUUUUCUAUUUUUUAAAAAUAAUAUUGAGUUUUUAAAAUUAAUUUUAUAUAGAAUUAGGGUUAAAUGGAGAGAAAGUAUAAAAGCUAAGGGUUAAAAUUCUCAUUAUCUAACUAAAAAAUUGUGGUUGUUAGCUAUUUAAUAGUUGGAUAAAAAAAUAAUUUCGAAAAUGUUAGUGGCCAAAUUGUAGCUCUUUCAAUUACGUGACACAUAAUUGAGGGAUUAAUAGUGUAAUUCCAUUAUCUUUUUUAAACAUAUGGAUUAAUUCACAUUUAUUUGGAAUCAGUUAUUAAUUCACUUAUGUAUUUAACUAGUGGUGGAGCUAACAAUUCCUCUUUGGUCCACCAUUCUAUAUCACUACCAAUUGGCCAUGCAGUUUCUUGAGCUGUAGCAGAGAUUCUUCCACUAUAAUUUCAUCAACUGAUUGGCUUGCCUGCAAAGCAAAUUAAACCUUCACUUAUUACUGUUUGCUUUUGAUGAUUGAUGAUGAAGAAAGCAAAGCCAGUUUUCCAAAAUUGGACAAUGGAUGACAUAUUAAGAACAAGAACUGUGAAUUGAAAAUAAUAAUGCAACAAGAAUAUCUAGAAAGAAAUAUUGACAGCCAGCAGAAACCAUAUACAGUUGAUGCAAUUUCAUUUAAUCAUUUAAAGCAUUAAAAAAAAUGAAUUUCUCUCCGGCAGCCAAAAUAAAAAUAUUGCAUUAAUGCAUAGAAAUUAAAGCUUAGUAUUGGGAGAAUACAUAGAGAAAAUAAUUGAAUGGAUGAAUUUCUGUUUUAAAGCUUAUUGUUGAGUUUGGAAGAGUAGUGUACCUGUGUUUUGGCAUGCACUGAUUUCUCUGAAUCAACACUAAAUCUUGUGGUUAUGUUGGGACAACCUUCUACUGUUAAACGUAUCAAAAAUGGGAAAACAAAAUGAUAACCCGCAGGGCUGAAGCUCACGAGGUUUGGUAGGUUACCAAGCACUAAGUCGUUUAAUCGAGGUAGGCAUAUCACUUUCUCUCCGUCCUUACUCACAUUUGACUCAUCUCCUUCAAACACCUGCUCUAAUUUGGAGACCCUUCUAAGGUAUAAAUGAACUAGGUUUGGAAGGCCGCCAUGAGCAAGAGUAAUGGGGAAGAGACAUUUCAAGUUUUCACAGUCAAUGAUUGUAAUCCAACUCAAAUUAGGGAAGCAAAUAGGUUGGAGAUGAUGUUGUGAUGAAGUUUGAUCCUUCUCAAUUAUUUGCUCCAAUUCCUCACAGUUAGAUAUAACCAAAGUCCACAAUUGUGGCAAAUUUCGAGCGAUGGUAGGUGAGAAGAUGUAUCUUAACCUUCUGCACUUGAAGACUGCCAAUUCAGUGAGAUUUUGGAAGUGUUCAACUUGGAUGGGACCGGUCCAUAUCACCCGCAAUUCAAUUAGUUCGGACAACUUUAGGAUCUUUAGACUUGAAAGAUUAUAUCCAGAAUAUUCAAAUAACUCUUCAAAAUUGGAAAUUGUUAAAUAUUCCGUACAUGUUGAUGUUCCUCCUCUCCUUUUAGGGACUGUCACGUUGCUUAUUUGCUUCUUUUCUGUUAUCUCCAAGAAGUACAAUUCCUAUAAAAAUAUCAUCAAUUUAAGAAUAAGCACAAGAUUUCUUUUUCAAUCUUUUAUAGUCGAAGAAUUCAAAAUUUUAAAAAGUUUGAUGUUCAACUCAAAUAAUCAUAAAUUACAAAAAAAAAAACCUCCAAAAAUAUGAUGCAAAAACACAACAUAAAUAAUAUUACGUAGUACUAGAUAGCGUUUGCAAUAUAUAUAAAAGAAACAUAAAUAAUAUAUAAUUCUCAUAUAGAUGUUAUUUAUGUUACUAAUUGGUAUUGUAAUUAACUAAACUACUUAAAGGUUUAUUUAGAUUAGUUUUUAGACCAAAUUCUACAAUGCAAACUAUUUUUUAAAGAGUUAUACAAGCAUUUAUUUAUUUUAUACCAAAAAAAAUUCAAAAGGUGAAAAUUUUAAUAAAUAAUAUAUAUAAGGUGGUCUUACUUGUAUAUUAGUUGGAACGAUAAAAGGUGUCAAUUGAGGACAUUCUAUCACUCUUAACACGUGUAAAGAUAGCGAUGUCAGCACGAUGUCGUUUCUACCCCUUCCUUUCAAUUGAGGCAAAUUAAUUAACUCAACUUCAUUCAAUCGUUCAAGACUUCGAGACAUUGAGAUUAACACGUCUGGUCUUUGGAUUAUUUCUUGCAAUUGGAAACAGCUCUCUAUCCUCAGAGUUUGCAAUUGCCCAAGACUAUUAGCAACACACAUUGGGAAGAUAAAUUUCAACUUAUUGCAUUCUGUGACUUGUACUUCCCUUAGGCAUUGGAAGCUUAUGGUUGGUACUUGUGAGUCUUGGAUUAUUUCUUUCAUUCCAAAGCAUCUCCUUAUCCACAGAGUUUGCAAAUUGGGCGCAUUUAGUUUUUUAGAGCUACCUUGAGCAACAAUAAUUGAAAAGAGAGAUUUCAAGCUUUCACAUUCCAAGAUAUCAAGUAGAAUCAGAUUUGGAAAGCAAAGAGGUAGGGGAUGAUGUUGUGAUGACGUUUGAUAUUGCUCUAAUUCCUCAUAUUUACAUGACUGCAAAUUGCUCAAUUGUUCAUUUGUCAUCUUCCCAAUCACCAAUUCCUAUAAACAUAUCAUCAAUUUUCAAUUUCAAAAUGUUCAAAGAUGUCAACAACUAACUUAACAUUUCAUCAAUUAAUUUCCUUACAAAAAAAUUAUUUUACCUUAAAUCAAUAUUAUACUCCAAAAAUGUGGUACAAAAACAAUCAUAAAUAAUAUCACAUAAUCAAUAUCAAACAACAAUAUAAUUUUAUAUAGCUUACUUUUGUUUACCCACAUAAUAGGUAUAAUAUAGUUUAGUAUUAGAUAAAUAGUUUGCAACAUAUCUAAAACAUAAAGUUUGGAUAAUUUUUUUUUUUGAAAAUUUUAUUAAUCUUAUUAUAUGGUAUUAUAAUAAACUAAUUUGUUUAAAAGGUUAUUUAGAUUAGUUUUAGACCAAAAUCAUAAAAUAAAAUCUAUCUUUUAAACAACUAUUCAAACAACGAAUUAUUAAAGAAAAAACAGAAACAAAUAAAUAAAUAAUAUAAAACAAAAAGAAAUGCAGUCUCUGAAGAUUUCGAAAACACAAAUUCCUUAGAACAUAGGAAAUCUAUAGUGGGAAGGGCAGUAGGAGCAGGGUAACCGACUAGUCCAAGUUGACCAAAUUUUUCCAAAAGCUCAGGGAUAUCCUGGAUUUUCUUCAUUGCUUUCUUGCUUAAUUGAUAUCUCCAACUCCAAUUAGGACACCAAUUGAGACACCUCUUAUUCAGUUGGAUUUCCUCCUCCAGAGUUCCCAUAUCCGACAGUGUUUCGGCUGCCCUUGAUUGCAAGUUCUGUACAUCAUUGUCAAUUAGUAGAAGCCAAUUUUUAGCAUCCUCAAUCUUAUGUAGUAGACGAUCUCGUGCAUCUGCAAGUUCACGCUUUUUCUCUCGGAGCUUUUCAACAUUGUCAUGAAAGCGACGGACAUAAUCAAGUUGACGUCCUACCCGCUUCACCACACAGUCUACAACCAGUGUUUCAACUGUAUUACAAAGGGCAGCCUCACAAAAUCCGCAACCCAUGCUUGACAAGCUCAAAUUGAAGAAUAUGAUGUUCCAAGUUCAAACACUGCAGUGAAUCAUAAGUAAUUACCAUAAAAAAAAAAUUAAAGAAUCAAAAAGUGUUUUGAAGAUUGACACUACUUCUCAUACAUACCAAGGAUGGUGAAAGACAACUCAACCCAUGAGACUCAAUGUGCUGUUCUUUCAACUCAGUCCAGCUGAAAACACAACACAAAACGCGAAUAUUAUGAUUAUAACUAAAAGGUGAUAACUUACAAAAAAGUGAGUCUUUGGGUCAUAUUUUUACCCUGGUUUGCUCUAUUAGAAAAGAGUUAAUUACAUCAAGCAUCCUUAAAUUGUGACCAUCAAUUUAAACACAUCCCCAAUUUAUCGGUGCUAUAUCAAUCGAGUACUUUUGUUAUUACAAUCACAUAUCAAAUCAUAUACGAGUGUAAUGUCAUAUAAUUAUAACUAAAAAAGACAGUUAAUUACUUGUAAAAAUAAAAAUUCAAAAUAUUUUAACCCUCACACUAAUAAUAUUAUAGAUAUAAUGCUGGAAAAUAUAAUAAACAUAUCCACUUACCAUUUCAAAAUCCAAACAGUCUUUUAGCUCUUACUUGCUUCAAGAAAAGCAUUAAAAGAUGAGAUGAGAUAAAAAAAAUAUAGAAAAACUUCAAUUUAUAUAUAAAAAACAGAAAUGAAGCAUAUAUAAAUAGGUUUACCUCACUUGGGAACUUCUAAAAUCAAACUACGCUUAGUGCUCAGAAGAUUGUUACUUCAAAACAAUCAGAAGGGAGGGAUUUGAAGGUUGGCUUUUUUUUUUUUUUCUUUAGCAAAAGUAAGUAAAACUGAAUACAAAAAGAAAGGAACUUGAAGAAAGGGAGGGAAAAAAGAAGAACAUAAAAAGAUCAGAUGAGAUCAAAAAUAUAUAACACAAAUAUAAAUAGAUUUUUCACACUUGGGAACUUCAAAAUCAAACUACACUUAGUGUUGAGAAGAUUCUUACUACUUCAAUACAAUCAAAAGGGAUUUGAAGGUUGGGUUUUUUUUUGAGCAAAAGUAAGUAAAACUGAAUACAAAAAGAAAGGAACUUGAAAGAAGGGACAACAAAGUAGAAAUCAAGGUUGAACUAAAAAAAAGGAGAAACUUUCAGAAAGAAAUUGAAGUUGAUCUGCCAGGAAAAGUCAACCACUCGGAAAGCAUAAACUCUAACACAACUGGGUUUUCUUGGUUUAGUAGCCAAAGGAUCUGUGUUAUGAGAUUAGUGCAGUAUUGGAUCUAAAUUAUGAGGAUUUGUUUUUCUGAUUGGUACUGAUUGGUUUGCCACAUGACGUGAAAUGGUAGAGGACGACUUUCAGUUCAUUUAAAAAUUCUACUUUUCUUCAGUUUCUUUUUCUUAAUUUUCAUUUGUUAUUAGAAAUGAAAAUGGUUUUUCUUUAUUCAUUUUUAUACAUUUAAGGUGUAUUUUCUAUUAUUUAUUUGUUUCCAAAUUUUAGAGACAAACGCAAGUAUACUUGUUAAAAUGUAUUUAUUUUUAUUAUAUAGAAAGCUCUUUUCCUCAAAAUUAACUAUAAAUAACAAUAGAGUUUUUGAAAUUUCACACUCCUGCAAGAGACUUUCAAAAAUUCCAAUGUUAAAAUUUUUGAAAUACAUGUAAAAACAAUUUAAAAUAUAAAUUUAUUAAUAUAUGUAAAAACAGCUUUUCUGGAAAAUAUUUUCAAGAAAUCUACCAAAUAACAGAAAAUAUUUUACACAACUCAUCCAAACACUAGAAAAGUAAAUAAUUUUUCAGAAUUCAUUUUACUGGCAAACAAAUGGAGCCUAAGUUUACCUGUCAAUCACAAUCAUUGGUGAGUCCCCCUGGUAUAAACUCACUACCACUUAUAUAUUUACUAUAAGUCUUUUGGGCCCAUUUUUCAGAAUGUCAUGUUUUCAGAAGUACAUAUGUCAUACCAGACCAGAACAAAUGAAGAUACAAAUCCUACAUUCAUCGGCUACACACCAACUCCGUCCAACGAAUCACACCAAUUAGGACUUCAAGAGUCCAUCCAUCCAAACCACACAGGGUCGUGGUGGCAUGCCACUCAUAAUAGUGCACCUCAGUUGCCAAACAUAUAUUUUGGUUUAACCGCCGAAAAUGUAGUAAUGCUAUUAGAAAACAUUUCCUCCAGCAAAUCAGAAUCACCCUAAUGCAUAUGCUAAAUCACAUUGACAUACAUAUAUAUCACAUAAGUUGUAUGCAUGCAUACAUAAACAGAUAUUAUACGGAACGUAACUUACACAUAAUUUAUAUAUAUCAUAGCAUAUCAUAUUCAUGGUCGAAUCGGAUAGCUUAUCAGAACAGAUAACAAAAUAUGUAUAACACAUGGUUUACAAAAUAGUCAUGCUUAACUUAUGUACCUACUUAUAGCAGAUAAUAUUGCAUUAUUAUAUUUAUCAUAAUUUAUUUAACAUACUUCCUACACUUACCCAUGUUUGUUUUACUGAAAUUUAUGCUUUCUAGGCCUACAUAAUGCCCCCGGACCUAAAUUUUGAGUCCUUUAAUCGACCCUUAAUUGGACCAAAAGACCUACUCGGCCCAAAAAGCUAGUCGUGUGGUCCAUAUGGUCUAUCCACACGAUCAGCAUGAUCUCACACGGCAGUGUGGGAACAUAGCCUGCAUGACAAGCCACAUGGGUUGUAAAAACAAACAUGGUCGUGUGCCUCACAUGGGCUACAAAAUCACACACAGUCCUGUGUCCCUCACGACCUAUCACACAAUUAUGUGUCACUGGGCAGUUUUAGAAAACAACUUUGUUUUACAUAUUUUCUGAAUUUUCGAUGAGUUUUUUGAGUUAAAUCACAUGCUUGAUUGCUGAUUUUGAUGUAGAUUCGCGAAAGAACACACAAGAACCUAAAAUCAAUAUUCCAAAUGUGUUAGUAACAAAAUGAAACACUAAAUCAAGAUUGACUCACUAACAUAACAUUAAAGAACCUACCACAAAGAAAACAACAACAAUAUCUAAGUCAUCGAAGGAAUGCCCAACACCUAUUGUUCUUUUCCUAAAAACACUUCGAACUCGUUAAGUACAAAAAAUACAUAUUAAUACAAUACUACUAAAGCUCUAUAACCCUAAACGCCCAAUAAAGUAAUUUUAAUACAUGGCUGAAAAAAUGGAGGAUGAAGCAACCUUACCCUUAAUGACAAACUUAUAGCACAAAGGACGAAUGAUACACAAAUUAACAAAAGAAUAAAAAAGAAGAAGAGAGAAAAAAAGCAUGAAAAAUUGGAAAACCAACAAUAAAGAAAGAAACUAACGAGAAAAUGAAGGGGGAGGGAGAGAGUGAGGGGAUGGUAUAUAAUAAAAAGAAAAUUUGGAAGAAAAUCUCUCUUCACUACUUUUAAAACUACCCAACUAACUCCUAGUCGUAUCCACAUAAGAUUUUUCCCAAAGUUAAUAAUUUUUUUUUCCACUUUGCAUGUGUAAGAAUUUGAACAUAAGACCAAAGGGUAAGCUAAUACCUUACCAUCAAACCAGUAGGCUCAUUCUUGUCAAUAGAAGCACUCAAAUAUUUCUUAAACCAAAUACCAAAAACUAGGGAUUUAGACAAAAUUUGCAAAAAUAGAAGCGAAAGGAUUCGAACCUAAAACAUUUCUCACACUACACCAAAACAGGCUUUUAGCGGCAUUUUUAGAAACAAACGCCGCUAAAGACCAGGACCUUUAGCGGCGCUUUUCUCAAAAACGCCGCUAAAGACCAGCACCUUUAGCGAUGCUUUUCCCAUAAACGCCGCUAAAGACCAAGACCUUUAGCAGCGAUUUUCCCACAAGUGCCGCUAAAGACCCAGACCUAUAGCAACGUUUUUUCCACAAACGCCGCUAUAGCUCAAGACCUUUAGCGACGCUUUGAUUACAAACGCCACUAAAAGUACUAUUAAAUAUUAAAAUCAAACAUUAUUGAUAUAAAAAAUUAAUUAGUAUUAAAUAUAUACUUUUAGUCAAAAAGAUAAUAUUUAAUCAUAUAAUAAAUUAAUUUUUUUAAUCAAAAUAUUGAAAAAUCAUGUUAAUAUUUAAAUUGCAAAAUUACAAGUUCAAAUAGUGCAACUAAUUGAUUGCAAAAAAAAAAUGCACAAGUUCAUAAUGUACAGUAAUCAACUUUAGGGAUAUGGAUCAUCUUCAUCUUCAUCAUCUUCUUCUUCACUUUCAACUCUGUGACCAUCUUCUUCUCUGCUGCCUAUGUGAUUCAAUGCUCUCCUUUCAUCAUCUUCAUCAUCAUUAUAAGGCACAAGUGACUCUUCAAGAGGUGAAGAUGGUGAAUCCACAACCCUCUACCAUUUUAAGUCCCGUUCCCCGUCUACACUAUCACCAAGUUCCCUUUUUGCUUUCAUCUUCUUUCCCCCUCCUUCGCUCUCACAAUUUCUGUUGCUAUACCACAGUAGCAUUCAUCAAUUAAACUAAGUUCCCAUGAGAUCUUCUACUACAAUCGUUCACUUAAAAUAAAUGAUAAAAAAAAAGAACUAUACUUUUAGAUGCUGAGAAAAAGAAAAAGCAGGAAAUUCAUAGCCAACUAUCUAGGGUUUUUAUUGAGUACCAGAUAAAACAUAGCAGCAUAGUAAAGAAACUUAAGUACAAAGGAGAUUAGAUAAAUUUUCAAACAAAAUAUCAGCGACUAAAAUAUACUAUACAUUUCUUUUAUUUUUUAAAGAAAUUAGAAGAAGAGUUAUAACAAUAAAAUUAUGAAAAACCACAAGCCACAGUACUGCUGGGACAUUCAAACUGGCAUAAAUUAAAGCCAAACUCCGAUCAAGAAAUGAGUAUAUAGAAAACAAUCGAAGAUUCUUCAAAUAUGAAAAAAAAAUUAAAAUCAAAAUAAAGAGGAAAAAUACUGGAAAAACAAAAUAAAAUAUCAAGAAAAUGAAGCGAAGAAAAUUUUAAUAAAGAAAAUGAAUAUGACCCACCUGACGUCUAUAGUAAUUUGAACAUACUAAGGCCAAUUACUAAUUAGUAAUUUGAACGUCUAUAUAUUUAAACAUACAAUAAAGUGCAGAUCCGAAAGGACAGUUCACAUAACAAAGGGCCAAUUACUAUUUAGUAAUUUGNNNNNNNNNNNNNNNNNNNNNNNNNNNNNNNNNNNNNNNNNNNNNNNNNNNNNNNNNNNNNNNNNNNNNNNNNNNNNNNNNNNNNNNNNNNNNNNNNNNNNNNNNNNNNNNNNNNNNNNNNNNNNNNNNNNNNNNNNNNNNNNNNNNCAUGUAUAAGUUUUGAAAUAACUAAAAAAUGGCAUGAAAGAAAGGAAAUUGAAAAUUAUUGAUAUAUUAACAAUAUAAAAUAUUUAAUACAAAUAAUAAGUAGGAAAAUUUGAAAUAAAUCGAAAAUGAAGAAAAUUAAGAAUAAAUUAUAUAAAAUAAUAUAUAUUUAUUUAGAUAAAUAGCAUAUAAGAUAAUUUUAAAAUAUUUACUAUAUAGGACAUCUUGGAAUAAAUACUAUAUCCGAAGGAGUGUUAAAAAACUACCAACCAAAUUUAUAUAUUAUUUGUUGCGAGUCAUACAUUUUAUAUUUUGUAUUUACAAAAAUCUGUAGAAAACUAAGUUAUAAUUUUAUAUUUUGUAAAAUUGUAAAUAUUAUUUUGUCAUUUUAUAGAGCAGUAAUGAAUCGGGUCAUACAUUUUUGUCCAAUUUUUACUGGAACACAUACAAAGGCAUAAACUUGCAGCCAGCUUAUAUCAAAAUGACCAGUUCUUGAUGUCACUAAAUUUAUUCAACAUUAUCUGGAAGAACUAUACAAAUACAACAGCCAUGAACAGGAAGACAACUAAACAUCGUUACUUUGAACAUUCAAAGUAUGUUAAGGUUAAAGUAUUAACUAGCGACCCAUAAAAGAACAAAUAAUCACAUUUUGAAUUAACCAAGGUAUUUCAGCAUAUUCAGCAGCCUAUAUGUCUAAACAAGAUACCCUCAACCCAAACAGAAAUUAUUCACCAUAAAUAACAUAAACAAGUGCUGGUUGGAUAGACAAUGCAAACAAAAUGAUGAGGGAAAAAAAUCAGUCAGAAAUAGGAUACAAAUCGUGCAACCAAACGAUAUUUAUUGUAAAUGCAAACUAGACCUAAUCAUUGUAUCGAAUCUGAAAACCUUUGCUCAAUUUUAUCUCAACUGAAGCAUUCCUUUAUUUGAUUGAGGCUGACAUAGACUUCCUAAUUAUCGCAUAAGGGGUAGUUUAAAAUAUCAAGUAUAUAGUAGGCAUGCGACAAAAUCCCCAUGAACAACCUUGAACUAACUCAUCACUGUUAAUUAGCAUAUAAAAACUACGACAAAAGUUACAAAUAUGAUGUCAGAACACUUACAAACAGUGUAGGAAUAGCUGCAAUGACCAGGCUUGUAAACGCCAAAGAAGCCUGCAUGUAUCCAAGUGAUUGGUGUCAACCAAUCCGAAAAUAUAGAAAAUUGAAACACCAAACAUAGUACUUAAGACCAAUGCACAACACUUGAAUUUCUACCACUGCCUGCCUAUAAAAAGAAUCUAUUUGAUUUGCAGUAACAAGCCAAAGAAAAUUGCAAAAAAUAAAAAUUAUCCAACAAAUUGUUCAAAUGCCAUAUGCAUCCAACAAAAUGCAAAACACCGAUUAUAACAAUGAAACUAUAAUCAACAAAUGCAAAAAGAAUUAAAUAAUGAAAAAAAAAGCUUAUCUAAAAGAACAUAAAAAUAAUGAAAAAAAAUAAAUAACAAAAUAGGACAAAUGAAAAAACCAAAUCAUCGAAAAUAAGAAACGUGUAAAAACACUCAGAGGAAAAAUUCUGUUAUAUUGCUACUGCUUUAGUUUACAGCUUUAUAAAGAGAAAAAUAAUCAUUUUAAAGGAAAUAAAUCCUAAUCUCUAAGAAUCAGUAAUUGAUAUCGUAAUUUCCUAAGAAUCAGUAACUGAGAUUAGUUUCUAUUUACAAGAGAUCACAACAGAUUUCUAUCCUUAAUUAUAGGGAUUCCAAUACCAUCAGAUUUCUAUCCUUAAUUAUAGGGAUUCCAACACUCCCCCUCAAGUUGGAGUGUAGAUGUUAAUCAAACCCAGCUUGCCACUAAGUUCUUCAAACAUGUUUCUGNNNNNNNNNNNNNNNNNNNNNNNNNNNNNNNNNNNNNNNNNNNNNNNNNNNNNNNNNNNNNNNNNNNNNNNNNNNNNNNNNNNNNNNNNNNNNNNNNNNNNNNNNNNNNNNNNNNNNNNNNNNNNNNNNNNNNNNNNNNNNNNNNNNNNNNNNNNNNNNNNNNNNNNNNNNNNNNNNNNNNNNNNNNNNNNNNNNNNNNNNNNNNNNNNNNNNNNNNNNNNNNNNNNNNNNNNNNNNNNNNNNNNNNNNNNNNNNNNNNNNNNNNNNNNNNNNNNNNNNNNNNNNNNNNNNNNNNNNNNNNNNNNNNNNNNNNNNNNNNNNNNNNNNNNNNNNNNNNNNNNNNNNNNNNNNNNNNNNNNNNNNNNNNNNNNNNNNNNNNNNNNNNNNNNNNNNNNNNNNNNNNNNNNNNNNNNNNNNNNNNNNNNNNNNNNNNNNNNNNNNNNNNNNNNNNNNNNNNNNNNNNNNNNNNNNNNNNNNNNNNNNNNNNNNNNNNNNNNNNNNNNNNNNNNNNNNNNNNNNNNNNNNNNNNNNNNNNNNNNNNNNNNNNNNNNNNNNNNNNNNNNNNNNNNNNNNNNNNNNNNNNNNNNNNNNNNNNNNNNNNNNNNNNNNNNNNNNNNNNNNNNNNNNNNNNNNNNNNNNNNNNNNNNNNNNNNNNNNNNNNNNNNNNNNNNNNNNNNNNNNNNNNNNNNNNNNNNNNNNNNNNNNNNNNNNNNNNNNNNNNNNNNNNNNNNNNNNNNNNNNNNNNNNNNNNNNNNNNNNNNNNNNNNNNNNNNNNNNNNNNNNNNNNNNNNNNNNNNNNNNNNNNNNNNNNNNNNNNNNNNNNNNNNNCACGCUCGUGGAGAUUGUUUCAGCCCAUACAAGGACUUCUUCAACUUACACACUUGGUCCUUGUUUUCUUCAAACCCUGGUGGGAAAUCCAUAUACACCUCCUCAUUUAAUUCCCCGUUGAGAAAAGCAUUUUUUACAUCCAAUUGAGUCAAGUGCCAAUCAAGGUUGGCAGCAAGAGAUAGCAGGACCCGAAUGGUGUUUAGCUUGGCAACCGGUGCAAACGUCUCGUUGUAGUCGAGACCAUAAGUUUGGGUGAAUCCCUUAGCCACAAGUCGAGCUUUGUAUCGGUCAAUACGGCCAUCGGGUUUAAAUUUCGUAGUGAAAAUCCAUUUGCACCCUACGGUUUUUUUUCCUUUAGGCAGAUCCGAGACUUCCCAUGUUUCAUUGUUUUUGAGGGCCUUCAUUUCUUCCAUCACGGCUUGUCUCCACUCAGCUGAUUCAAGAGCCUCUUCUAUAUUUUUUGGAAUUUUUACAGAAUCAACAUUAGUCACAAAAGCUUUGUAAGACUUAGAUAAAUUUCCAUAGGAUACAAACCGAGAAAUAGGAUGUUGAGUGCAGCUCCUUGUACCCUUUCGAACUGCAAUUGGAAGAUAGAUGGAUGGUGACGGAGGUGGGACUUCUGCUUCAGAACAGUCCUCGGUUGGAGAUGUAAUUGGCACUGCUGUAUCAGUUUCAGGAGAACGAUUCCGUCGGGAGUAAACCUGUAUUUGCUGUUUUCCUUGAUCAAGUGGCUGUUGUACUUCAGUGGAGGUAUUGUCAUUGGGAAGGACGGUGUUAAAUUCUUGCUGUAUAGGGGAAACAACUAAAUCUGGGAUAGUAGUAGUAGGAUCAGGCGGUAUAAUGAGGAGAGUAUUAAGGGUCUCAUCUUCAUUAAAAAUCUCCCCCUGAAGAUGAGAUGCUGCAAAGUAUGGUUCAUUUUCAAAGAAGGUAACAUCUCGAGAGACAAACAUUCGGCGCAAUGUUGGUGAGUAACACUUAUAGCCUUUUUGUGUAGGGGAAUAUCCAAUGAAGAUACAGGUGUGGGCUCGAGGAUCAAGUUUGGAUUGAUUUGGUUGAUGGUUAUGGACAAAAGCUUUACAGUCGAAUAUUUUGGCUGGAAGAUUAGGGACAUGAAAUAGAGGGAAGGCCUUUAAAAGAGUAUUUAGAGGUGUUUGGAAAUUGAGGAUCUUUGAUGGCAUUCGGUUUAUGAGAUAGCAGGCAGUAAGGACAGCUUCUCCCCACAAGUAUUUUGGAACAUUCAUAGUGAACAUUAUGGCUCGAGCCACAUCAAGAAGAUGACGAUUUUUCCUCUCAGACCCUCCCUUUUGUUGAGGAGUGUCAGGACAAGAGCUUUGGUGUAUAAUGCCUUGGUCAGAAAGGUAUGGACUUAAGACAGAGUUGAAGUAUUCUCUCCCAUUGUCAGUACGGAGGGUAUGUAUGGUAGAGUUGAAUUGGGUUCGAACCAUUGAGUGAAAAUUUUGGAAUACUUUGGGUGUUUCAGAUUUUUCUUUGAGUAGAUAGACCCAACAGACCCUAGUAUGAUCAUCAAUGAAUGUUAUAAACCAUCUAGCCCCUGUAAUAUUUUUCACUCGGCUGGCUCUCCAUAGGUCACUAUGGAUUAACGAAAAAGGUUGGGACUGAAUAUGUGGUUUUAAUGGGUAUGGCACACGGGUAUGUUUAGAUAAUUGGCAAAUUUCACACUUCAAGGAAUUAAUACUUUUAUUUCGAAAUAACAGCGGAAGAUGUUUUUUCAAAUACACAAAGUUUGGAUGUCCUAACCUACGGUGCCAUAACAUAAUAGUGUCCUCUUUUGCAGUGGAUAGAGCCAAUCCCCCUUGUGUACUGUUUUUAUUCCAAAUAUAUAGUCCAUCAUCAACUUUAGCAGUGCCAAUCAUCCUCCCCGAUUUCUGUUCCUGUAUCACACAACCAAUUGCAGAAAAUUCAGCAAGAACUUUUUCAUCCUUAGUAAGUUUACUAAUUGAAAGUAAAUUACAGGACAAGUUUGGAACAUGUAGGACUUUAUCGAGAGAAAAAUUCUCUGUCAUUUGUACUUCUCCUAUUCCAGCCACAGGUGAGUAAGAACCGUCAGCUAUGCGGAUUCGGGAUUUGUUAUGACAAGGAGUGUAGGUGUGAAACAACGUGGAGUCACCUGUCAUGUGAUCAGAGGCGCCCGAAUCGAGUAUCCAAGGAGAUUGAUUAUUAGAUUCAAAAGCAAUGUUGAGGGCAGUACCUUGAGUUGCUAGAGAUCCAUGAGUAGUGGGAGUACCAAGUAUCUUAUGGAGAGUCUCAAGCUGUGUUUUGGUUAAGCGAACAUCAAGAACAUCAUCAGCAGUAGUGGAGGAUAACAUGGCAGUCUUAUUAUCCUUCUGUUUNNNNNNNNNNNNNNNNNNNNNNNNNNNNNNNNNNNNNNNNNNNNNNNNNNNNNNNNNNNNNNNNNNNNNNNNNNNNNNNNNNNNNNNNNNNNNNNNNNNNUUUGAAGCAUUUUUCUUUUGUUAUUGACCAACACGAUUGCAGUGACUACACAUGGUCUUGUUGAUCAGAAUCAUUUCAGCACGUUUUGUGCUGUGACCUUUGGAGAUGAGAGCAGAGGUUUCAGUAGGACGAUUAUAAAUUGGAGUCAUAGGUUUAGGUUCCUUUGAAUCUCCCAUCAUGACAAGACGACGCUUUUCUUCUCUUCUAACUUCUGCAAAUGCUUCACCGAUCGUUGGAAGAGGUGAUCUACCCAGAAUUCGGCCACGGACCUCAUCUAACUCACGGUUCAGUCCUGCUAAAAACUCAUAAAGACGUUCAUUGUUGAGAUGGACCAUAAACCUGUUGUGUUCUGAGCCUUCACCCCAAUCUGCCUCAUAAUCCAUAUCCAGUUCUUGCCACAAAAUUUUCAAAUUGUUAUAGUAGUGAGUUACCUCGAGUGUUCCUUGUCGGAUGUCCUUUAACUUAAGCUUGAUUUCAAAUACUUGGGAGGCGUUUCCAAGAUCUGAGUAGUUUUCUUUGACUGCAUCCCACAUGUCUUUUGCAGUUUUGAAAAAAAGAUAGGUGCGGCUUAUAUGGCCUUCCAUCGACUUGAUUAGCCAAGCCAUUACAAUUGAAUUGUUGAGUUCCCAAGUGGCAUAAGUAGGAUCAGCCAUGGUUGGUCGUGGGAUUUCUCCAUUGAUGUACCCUAAUUUGCCACGACCACGAAUCACCAUAAGAACCGAUUGAGACCAUUGCAAGAAGUUCUUCCCAUUUAGCCGAUGAUUGGUGAUUAUAAGGGAGGAAUUAAUUUCACCUUGAGUGAUUCCCUGAUUGAUAUUCUGAGUUAUUUGUGAUGUCUCAGUUUCAGAGAAAUUCUCAUUGAUAUCACCCAUUGGAGGACUAAACCACAGAAAUUUUUAGUAAGGGAAUUUAGAGNNNNNNNNNNNNNNNNNNNNNNNNNNNNNNNNNNNNNNNNNNNNNNNNNNNNNNNNNNNNNNNNNNNNNNNNNNNNNNNNNNNNNNNNNNNNNNNNNNNNNNNNNNNNNNNNNNNNNNNUUUAAAGGAAAUAAAUCCUAAUCUCUAAGAAUCAGUAAUUGAUAUCGUAAUUUCCUAAGAAUCAGUAACUGAGAUUAGUUUCUAUUUACAAGAGAUCACAACAGAUUUCUAUCCUUAAUUAUAGGGAUUCCAAUACCAUCAGAUUUCUAUCCUUAAUUAUAGGGAUUCCAACAAAACGGGUCACCUUAUUAUCAAUUGGUAGAUUUAGAUUUGCAGAAAACAAGUAAUGAUGGAAAUCAUCGAGGGUCAGUGCGUGUUUUCUGAACUUCGCCAUAUGGUGUCGUUUCUGCAGACCCUGCAGCAGAAUCUCCUCCGCGUCGGAGACCUUCGCAUCCACCAAGAACCUAUGCAACUGCUCCCCAGUCAUUUGAGGCCCACCUUCGGCGUACUUCUCGAAUGCAGCUAUAACAUCCGGUGGUGGUGCCGCCUCAAUGAGUUUUUUCUUUUUAAUGUUAUUUUGCAUGUAAAUAACUUCUUUAUAUGUGUUAUCGAAAUUAGCAUUAAUUACUUUUGUUUCCUUUCUUAACUUUUAUUCCAUAAUCUAGAGGUGAUUACUUGAGAGAGAGAGAAAUCAUGUUUUUCUGAAUGUUUAAGUUAUUAGUUAUUUUAAUUUUAAUAUUUUUUUCUAAGAGAGAAAAUUUUAAAAUUUGUAAUUCACAAAAUCAUUCAUGGUUUUUAAAAUUUUGCAAGCGAAUAUCAAAGAGCUGUUAGGAGUUGAGGAAACUCAAAAUGUUAUAUAGGUAUUAGCUACCGCCAUCUUGCAAUGAUUCACAGACAUAUACUCAAAAUGUGCAGUAAGCAAUAAUUCAUAACAUGCACAAACUUACCUUUUGAGCAGGCCAAUUAUAUAUCAUAGACAUCAUCUCUCCUUUAUCCUUUGCACUGAAAUACAUUCCACAUGGGCGUCUAAAUAAUCCAGAAUAAAUUUGGCAUACCAGUCCUUAUAAUCGAGCAAUUAUAGCAACAUGUCCAGGCCUUGACUCCGUUGGAGGCCGAACAUGAGAUACUCCCCAGCGACCUUGAUUGAUUCUUAAUCACAUUUCUUAAAAAGAGUGCUCUGAAAUUCCCUUCCAAAUCUGGCUCGAAAAAUUUAUCAGCACGUAAACCAUCCACUGCAAUGAUAUGGUUUUACCAAGACGUAGCAAUUAGUAAUUACACUAAACAUUAAAAAAUGAGUAAUCAUUUCAGGAAAUGAAAUGUUUCAAACAUUAAACUGUAGUUGCACCACAAUAAUCAUGAACAGCCCAUCAUUGAGUUCUCCAUUUUUCAUAUAAAAAACUUAGCCUUUUAAUAUAAAGCUAAAAUAAGUAAAUAACUAACAUACCCAAAAGGUUCUUUGUUUCUAUUUAGCUGAAUCGUCAGAUUCGCAUCAAACUCAACAAGCCAUUUUUCACUAUCAAUCCUAUUCAACAAAAUCAAGGGGGUGAACCUUAAAAAGAGAAGAAAGGUGGGUUUACCAACAAGAAGAACAAGGCGUUUAGCAGAAGGAGAGAAGCGAGGGGAGACAAGAUCCAUGCCAUGAACAAUGGGGGUCUUGAAGUAGAUGUCGAAAAUGCUUAACAUGUAAACGGCAUGGAGGAGAUGCAGAGGGCUGCCAAUUUGGGGAAAUUGGGGGGAAAGAUAAAGGGAAUCGGGGUAGGGGAGAAAUUAGGGGGAAAAUAAAGGGAAUCGAUUUUGGGAAAAAGAAGGGGGAAAAAUAUAAUUCAUUUGGAAUUUUGGGAUAAAAAAUAUAUAUAAACACAAAACGACGUCAUUUUGCAAAAAUAUUACUGGUGUUUGGAAGAAAAACGCGACUAUUACUCUUUUUUUGUGGCGUUUUUAACAAAAACGCCGCUAUUUCCUUUUUUUUUGCGGCGUUUUUUUAAAAACGCCGCUAACGCUCUAUUUUUUACAAUUUUUAUAUUAAAUGAUUAUAUCUUUCAAAUAAAUUUUAAAUAAAUAAUUUUUUAAAUUUAAAAGAAUUAGAUAAAAUUAUAAUUUUUUGUUUUUAUAUUUCAUUUUUAUUUGUUCUAAUUUGGUCCUAUCCAAAAUAGAUAGUUAUUUAUCCGUAUCCAUCUAUUACUUUUUUUUAUCAAUUUUUUAUAAUUUAAUAUUUAAAUAUAUCAAUUAAUUGUUUAGAUUAAAUAUUUUUAAAUAUAAAAGAUUGUGUAAAAUUUUAUUAUUUAAUAAAUCUCAAGUAAACCUUAAAUCCUAAACCAUUUAAUAUAUAUAAAGUUUAUCUAUUAUCUCUUAAAUAAAUUAAACUAUAAUCAUAAUGUUAAUCUAAACCCUAAACCCCUAACCCCUAUCUCCUAAACCUUAAAUCAUAAAACAUAACCCCUAAACCCCUAACCCCUAACCUCUAACUCCUAACCCCUAACCCCUCUUUUACAAUUAUAUAAGAACUUAAUUAAUAUAUAAAUUAAAAAAUACUAAUUAAUCUAAACCUUAUACCCUAACCCGACUCCAAAUCUUUAAACCUUAAANNNNNNNNNNNNNNNNNNNNNNNNNNNNNNNNNNNNNNNNNNNNNNNNNNNNNNNNNNNNNNNNNNNNNNNNNNNNNNNNNNNNNNNNNNNNNNNNNNNNNNNNNNNNNNNNNNNNNNNNNNNNNNNNNNNNNNNCUAACCCCUAAACCUUAUUUAAUAUAAAUUAAAACACACUAAUUAAUCUAAACCUUAAACUCUAACCUAACAUUGAAUUCAUAAACCCUAAAUCACUAACUCUUAAUCUCUAACCCCUAACCCCUAAAUCACAACCCUUAAACCAAAAUCCCUAAUCCAUAAUCCCUAAUUUCAUAAUCUAUAAACCUUAAAAUUGUAACUCCUAAACCAGCCUUAAAUCCUAAAUUAACCAUAUACCUUAAACCAUAUACCCUAAACCAUAUAUAUUAAACCCUAAACUAUAAUGAUAAUUAAUUAAAUAUUUUAAAAUUAAUACUAUCGUAUCUUUUACAAUUAUAUAUGAAAUUAUUUAAUAUAUAAAUUAAAAAUUAAUCAGUCAUGUACCCAAAAAAUUUUAAACUUAUUUUAAAUAAUAGUAUUUUAAAUUUUUCAUUUUUAACAAAUAUUCAAUUAAAAUAAAUUGAAUGUUAAUUAAUACAAAUAAACAAAUUAAAUAGUAAAUAGAAAGAUAAAAUAUUUUUGCGGCGCUUUUCUAAAAACGCCACUAAAAGCCUAAGCAUUAGCGGCGCUUUUCAAAAACGCCACUAAAAGCCCGAGCAUUAGCGGCGUUUUUGAAAAAGCGCCGCUAAAGAUCUGAGCAUUAGCGGCGCUUUUUCAAAAACGCCGCUAAAGAUCUGAGCAUCAGCGACGCUUUUUAAAAAACGCCGCUAAAGCCCCGAAAGGUCAAAAAAAUGAUGCUGUUGGGCUUAGAUUUUUAGCGGCGUUUGCCGCUAAUGCUCAUUUUUAGCGGCGCUUUUCUGAAAGCGCCGCUAAUGCUCGAUCUUUAGCGGCGUUUUAUGUAAAGCGCCGCUAAUGCUCGAUUUUUAGCGGCGUUUUUUGUCCAAACGCCACUAAAAGUGCCGCUAAAAGCCUGUUUUGGUGUAGUGUCACACAAGCACAACCCUUAACCACUUAAUUAGAACAAAUUACUUAACAUAAUUUCAAAAUCUUAACUCAAAAAUCACAAUAUGACCUCUCUAGGUUUCACUAACCCACUUUUUGCAUUUUUCCUUUUUAUUUUUCAACAAUUAAGGAUGAAAACUAAGUUAGUAUAAUAAAUAAAUGUGGUAGGAAAUAAUUAAGAAAUGUGUAAUAGACCAAUCACCAAGCAUCACCCCAUUCUCCUUAUAGUCUUAAGUUCUAUCCAUGACAAUACCCUUCCUUUAGUUUUAAAUCUCAACAAGAAGGUUUAUUUGCCAAAACAACCCCAAAAUUUGCACAACUUGGCCUUUUAACUCAUUUCCUAGUUAUAUUAGGAUUUUGGUUAUUUUUUCAAACCUAAUUAGAAUUCAUUUCUCCCUCUUUUUUUAAUACAUUUUUUUUAUUACUUCUCUUUUUCAUAAAAAUGUUCAUCAUCUUUUGUUGAAAAUGUUAUAUUCAAAUCUCGUACCCAACAUCAACCUCGUUCAAUCUAUUCUUCAUAAUGAUUUAGCGUAAUGUCGUCAAAAUCUGUUUCUAAUGUGCCAAUAUCGGUAAGAAUUCCUUUUUUUAAUUUUGUAGAACUCUAAAAAUCUAGUAUAAUAUCGUUCUUGAUAAUUUUUCUAAAAUUAAUUCUAAAUAUUUAAUGGGUUUUCAUGAAAUCUUGUUAAAACUUGAUAAAUCUUAAACAUCAAUAGUAAUUAUUACAUUUUCAUCGAUUAAAAGACCUAUUGUAAGUAUCCCAGAUCAAUUUUGGACAUAAGGAUCAUCAUACGAGACCCCAUAAGUUAUAUGUGUGUUCUUUUGCUAGAAAAUUUAGGCAAAAUCGAACCCAACCCNNNNNNNNNNNNNNNNNNNNNNNNNNNNNNNNNNNNNNNNNNNNNNNNNNNNNNNNNNNNNNNNNNNNNNNNNNNNNNNNNNNNNNNNNNNNNNNNNNNNNNNNNNNNNNNNNNNNNNNNNNNNNNNNNNNNNNNNNNNNNNNNNNNNNNNNNNNNNNNNNNNNNNNNNNNNNNNNNNNNNNNNNNNNNNNNNNNNNNNNNNNNNNNNNNNNNNNNNNNNNNNNNNNNNNNNNNNNNNNNNNNNNNNNNNNNNNNNNNNNNNNNNNNNNNNNNNNNNNNNNNNNNNNNNNNNNNNNNNNNNNNNNNNNNNNNNNNNNNNNNNNNNNNNNNNNNNNNNNNNNNNNNNNNNNNNNNNNNNNNNNNNNNNNNNNNNNNNNNNNNNNNNNNNNNNNNNNNNNNNNNNNNNNNNNNNNNNNNNNNNNNNNNNNNNNNNNNNNNNNNNNNNNNNNNNNNNNNNNNNNNNNNNNNNNNNNNNNNNNNNNNNNNNNNNNNNNNNNNNNNNNNNNNNNNNNNNNNNNNNNNNNNNNNNNNNNNNNNNNNNNNNUUAUCAUGUUGCAAUUGAAACCCAUCUACCUCUGGCUGCAAUUUUUUAAGGAUUAAAGACUUAACUAUUUGAUUAGUAGGGUGGUUAGGAAUUUGAUAUAUGAUAUAUGACAGAUAGAAUAGAAGACAAUGACACAUUCAGUAAUCUUAAAGCAUGGUGUUGAUGAAUACAAAGGAAUUUUAAUGAAUAUGAAAUCUCAGCAUUGGUGCGUGUAGCCUACGACUAUGGAACAAUUUCAUCAUUUACUGUGUUCAAAUCAAAAUGCAAGGGAUCAUUAUUUCCAAUUUCAACUCAAUAAACCUGAUUUUUCAUUGUUAAAACCAGCUUUGAACCUAAGCUUUACCAUCCCUUGCCUAUGAGCCAUAACCAGUCAAGUGUGACCCUUGCAAAGAUACCUCCUAGGAGAAACAAAACAAGCAAAUUCCCUAGGAGAAACAAUUGUCGAGAUAAUAAUGGAGGGCUGAUUUGAGGGCUUUGGAAUGUUUGGCUGAAAUUGGUGGAUUUUUAAGGGGUAAUUAAGAAAUGGCCCUAAUUUGUCAUUUUGGUACAACCGCAAGGGACUCUUUGCAGUUAUAGCUGCAGUUUUUCUUUCACCACCUGCAAGAAUUUGCUGAAUGUUAUAUUUUUAAUAAACUGUAUGAACUAGAUAAAUGAAUCAUUGAAUCGUAAAUUGACAGCAAACUUUAUUCAAAAACAUUGAAAUUCAAUUUUAUCGUUCAAGAUUUUGAUGUUUGUAUAUAAUACUGUCAAUGUACACUUCUUAAUUUGAACAUCUAUGGAACUGUCAGGAUCUGCCUGCUGAACUUUUUGUGUAUGAAGAAAGGGUUGGAACUUGGAAGUUGCGAGUCGCUACAAAGAUGGAAGGAGCCAAAGAUUGAAGAGAGUUGAAGCAAAGGAUAGAAACCACGACAUGAAAGCCAUAGCUGCAGACAACUGAUAUCUACUGCAUAUCUUUGACGAGCAAUAUGUCGAGCUGACAUUGACCAAGAGACUUGUCACACUAGCAGUUGAGCAAGCCAUGGCUAGUGAGAGAAAUGACAAGGCCUGCAAUCAGAUAAAACACAUGUUUUUACAUCAAAUUAUGAUAAGGGAUAACACCAUGGUGAUGAUAUGCAUAAUAAGCCUCGUAACAUACCCAGUCUCCAACAAUGACAACUAACAGUACCCUUGGUUGUCGUGGUAAGCCUUUAACGAACACGAAAUAUGCAUCAACCAAUGCUAAUGACACACUCCAUGGAGUCACUAAACCCCUGACUGUCACCAAGUAGCUACGAAAAAAUUUAAAGGAAAAUUGGAGAUUGAUUUAUCACCCAACAAUUGGUGAGCAACAAUGAAAACACAAACAUUAUCUUCUAUAUCAUUAUAUCUAAUGAGCAAUUGAAAAUUAUAGUUUGUACCUGCAAUUGAUCGAACAACACCAUAGACAAGGCAAGUUUAGACAAUAGAAGACCUUAUCCUAUGGCAAUUUUUUAUCAUUCAAUAGCUUCUGUUACUAGUGCAAGGGCUUUCUUAAUAUAUGUGGGCUAGAAGACUUCAUUAAUUGAAGGAAGAGGGAGACUCCAUUAAUUGAAGGAAGAGGGAGACUCCAUUUGAGAUUGAGGUGAGUUUUCUUGGCUUUUUUCGAAGAGUUCUGUCUUAGAAACUAAUGGAGCUGCAGUUGGCUUUAAAGGGUUUGGAAUUUGCCCAGAAGAAGAAGAAAUGGGUUGCUUUAAUGGCGGCUUUUGGUUUAAGCAGUUAUGGUUUCUAUAGAUUUUAUCACUUUCCUAUUAUAGCUCAAAAGCGAAACAGAGUUUUAAAGCUUUUACGAGCUUUGGUUUCCAUUACUGAAGCCGUCUCUGAUUGUCCUAAAGCAAUAAGAGUUGUUUCUAGUGAUUUGAAUGGUUUUCUCCAAUCAGAAUUAGACCAAAUUCCUAAUAGUCUGCCCUAUUGACGAGUCAUUACUACAUUUUUUUAUUUAUUAAUUUUACAUAAUCUCAUUACAAUUUAUAACCUUUAUUUAAGAAUGAAUAAAAGAAAUCAAGGAAUAGAAAUUAAGUAUUACAUAAUCACAUUACAAUGGCAUUGUAUUCAAAGUGGUUCUCAAAAUAACCAUCUCAACUUUUAAUAUAAUAUCAAAUUUAGUUAUUAAUAUUUAUACUCUCUUAUCAAUUUCACCUUUCUUUUUAAAAAACUAAAUUUAGCUAUUAAUUUUUUUAAAAAAAAGACUUAAAUUAUUUUUAAGCUCCAUAUAUACUUCAUGUUAAUAUGACAAUAUUUGUCUUAUAUAUCACGUCAAUAAAUAAUUUAAAAUUUUAAAAAAUAACAUAAAAUACACGUAGAUAAAUACAAUAAUUUAUCUUAUCAUUUAUUUAUUAUGUUUUUUUAUUGAAACAGUGAAUUGGAUUCUUACAAAAGAAGUAUUUGAUAGGCUCCUUUGAAUUGUUACUCAAACAACUCCAUUUUAAGCUCUCCUUAAUUGCACUUGUAAGUACCUAGUCUUACUUACAUGUUUUAAUUUAAUACAACAUUUUUUUGAGAUAAAAUCCAUGUUAGUGAUUUGAAUUAAGGCAUAAUAUCUGACAUAUCUCAUUGUGAUAUUACUAUUUUAGGUUAAAUGUAUUCAUUUAAUUAUGUAAGUAACACGUUUCUUAUUUUUUUAAGAUAUAAAUAAACAAACAUAAAUAGUAAUAAACAGAUUAUAAAUAAAUAAAAGAAACACAUAAACAAUAAUAGUACUAAUUAUAUAAUUAAACAAUAGUUGAUUUUAAAUGGUUUACUAAACCAGUUUUAAACUAGCAUGAAGAUAACUAGUUUGGAUAUGUUUCAUUUAUAUUAGGUUAAUUUAAUAAAUAAAUUUUAAAUUUUUAUUAAUGUUGAUUUAUUUAACUUAACGAACGAAUAUAAAUAAACAAAUAUCCAACUCAUAAACUAUUUAGUUACAGCUUUAAACUUAACUUAUUUAGAAUACUUAAGUAACGAUAAUUUAUUGUCAACUUUAGACUUCAAGAACUACGAAGUGGAUAAGAGUUGGAUGGAUUUGUCAAUGGUAAGCAACGAAUAUUAAAAUCGAGUACAAACUUUUCUAAAUUAGUUUGCAUUUAAAUUCUUAUGUUUAAAUAAUUUAUUUGAACUGGUUGAUCUACAAGUUAACUCACGCAUUAACUUAUAUUUAUACUUUAUCUGAGAAUAUUUUAAUUCUUAUAAUUAAUAAAUUUUAAUUUACAAUUAAUUUUUACAUUAACUAAAUAAACUUUUAUAGAGAAAAUUAGAACCCCAUCGGUUAAAAGCUAGUUAUUUUUCCUUUUAAAAAAUCUAGUUAUUUUUUUUUAAAAAGUAAUGUUUUAUUAUUUUAUAUAUUUAAUAUAAAAUUAUAUAAAUAUUUUAUUUUAUUUUCCGUGAUUCUCUAUGUCCGUUUAUGUUCAUGUUCGGGUUUAUUAAACUAAUAUUAAAAUUAUGCAUUUUAAUAUUUAUAUUAAUAUAUUAAUUUAAAAUAAAAACAUAUAUUUUAAUUUUUUAUUUAUAUACAUUAAUAUAUAAAUAUUUUAUAUUUUAUUUUAAACUAUAUAAAAAAAAGAUGUUGAGGGUAAGAUGAUAAAUUAAUAAAUAACACUUAUGUUUUAACUCAUAGAAAAUAUAUGGUAAGAAGAUUAACUGUUAGGCACAAGUGUAAGUCGUGUUAUCCUAUCCCCUGCCCCUAAUAUUAUAUCGAAAAACGCUUGGUAAGAAGAGUGAUAUAUAUCCAAUUUUCAACAACCAAACAAUUUGAUGUAGUAGCAUCUGUCUUUUAUACAUCAUUUGAAAGUUGAGUGUUAUUUAACAUAACACUCCUCUUUUACAUCAAGCCUACCAAAUGUGACUAGACUAUCAAUUUGGCUAUGAUUCUAUAUAAAACGAUAAAAAAAUUGAGUUUUUUUUUUAAAUUAGAAAAUCUUGAAAAUACAUAAAUUUGAAAACUAAAUAAAAAUAGAAAAUUUUUUAAAAAUAUAUAGAUAAGUGAGAAAAUUAGGGAAAAUUAUUUUUCAUUAUGAGAAAAGAAUGAGAAAAAAAGAUUAGAUUUGUUUUUUUCAGUUUGGAUUUUGAAUAAUGUUGAAAAUUUUGAAGUUGUCGCAGGGUGUUAUGGGAAUUGCCGACUACCCCAACCACUAUGACAAAACAACUUGCCAUAUUUGGAAGAUUGGCAAUUUAUUGAUCUGUAUCUUUAGGUUGAGUUGAUAUUGUAGAGCGAAUCAAGCUCAUCAAUAAAGAUCAUAUCACUUGGAGAAACUUAUUUAGAAGAUUGGAUCGGGUUGGAUUGGAUUGCUUAUAUCAAAUCCUAUGGAUAAAGGAAGUUGAAUCGGAUUGAAAAAGUAAAGAGUUGUUGUUUAGUAAGGAUUGUGAUAGAUCUUCAUUAUGUUAGCAAGUCUCGAAAUCUCUAUGUAAUUAAGAGACUUGUAUAGGUUGAUGCACAAAUUAUUAAGAGCAUUUAUAUGUUCAAGUGAGGAACAUUACUUUGCAAGAGUGCAUUUGUGAUUGUAAAAUUCUGUAUUGUGUUGUGCAUUUGUGAGGAACAUUAUUUGUGAUUGUAUUAUUUAGUGGUGAGUGAUCUAGUCUUCAAAGGUAUAAGAGUGAGGAAUCAUCAUUGAGGUGUGGUACAUUUAGGUUCACUAGUUGUAAUUGUUUAAAUAUAGUGAUUCUUCUCAUUGACCAAGGCUUCACAAAUGUAUGGAAACUGAACUACAUAAACAAACUUUAAUGUUUCCUAUUUUGUUUUUGCUUAUGAACUACAAAAACAAACUUUAAUGUUUCCUAUUUUGUUUUUGCAGAAGUACACACUUUUGUAGUCACUACUACUCAACAAAAAAAUCAUUUAAAUGAAUUAAAUUUUAUUAAUGGAGUUUGAAAAAGAAUAUUUUCUUGUAUAUUUUGUAUUUUAUUUUAUUUUACUAAAAGAAUGGGAUCAAAUUCAAUUUCACAAUUCUUAGUGAGAUUAGUUUGAAAGAAGUUCUUCAAUAGCAUGGAACUUGACUGGAAGGUGUUACUAAAUUUGUCCUAUUUUGUUUUAAAUUUGUUAUUUGAUUCUAUUGAAUAAUCUUUUUCUUUCUUAUGUCUCAGUAUUGAACAAUCUAGAGCUUUAUUGCAAUAUAAUAUUAAGUUUUCUUUUAUGAACAUUAGUUUCUAAUCACAUUUAAGCUUUGUGCAAAAUGAAUAUUAUAUUAAGAUAUUGAAAUUGAUCUAUUUCUUUUAUCCAUUUUCAUGAUUUAUGGCAAUGUUGAAUAUUUUGGUGUUGCAGAAAUCAUUAUUUUUAUAUAGAAUUUUCUAUUUUUUAAAAAUAAUAUUGAGUUUUUAAAAUUAAUUUUAUAUAGAAUUAGGGUUAAAUGGAGAGAAAGUAUAAAAGUUAAGGGUUAAAAUUGUCAUUAUACUAAUUAAAAAAGUGUGGUUGUUAGCUAUUUAAUAGUUGGGUAAAAAAUAAUUUCAAAAACGUUAGUGGCCAAAUUGUAACUCUUUUAAUUAAAUGACAUAUAAUUGAGGGAUUAAUAGUGUAAUUUAACCUUAUCUUUUUUAAACAUAUGGAGUAAUUCACAUUUUUUUGGAAUGUGUUAUUAAUUCACAUAUGGAUUGGAUUUAAGUAGUGGUGGAGCUAGAAAAUAUUUUGGGGGCCAAAAUUAAAUUGUAUAUUUUUAUGAUAGCAAAAAUACAAUUUCACUAUUUUAUAGUCUAUACCUUUAUAAUUUUUAAAGGAUUAAAUUAAUUUUUAUCAUUUUUUAGAUUAAAGUGUAAUUUUACUAUUAUUAAUUUAAAAUUUUAUAAAUUAUAAAAGAGAUAAGUAAAAAAUUUUCCAUUAAUCAACACUCUUGGCUCUACCACUUGAUCGAACACAUAUCAUGAGUCCUUUCCGGCGUGUGUCAAUUUUUUUUAUAUGGUUGAAAUAUCAUCACAUGUAUUUAUGUUUGAAUACACAUCACAAAACCUUGAGUUGUUUCGGCAUGACCCAGAGAAAGAAAAAUGGAGAAACAUGAAGGUAGCUUAGAAGAAUCCAAAAGCAAUAAACGAAAGCUAGACCAAAGGUUGAAAUCAUCAUUAACCAAGCCUUUACUUUUUCUAACGCCGGGAAGAGUCUAUGUUCGUUGAGAAAAUCGGCAAAGACUUUGGGUCUGUUUGAUUGCCAGUAAAAUAUUUUCCGUAAAAUGAUUUCAGGAAAAUGUUUUACUUUUCUGUAAAAUAAUUUACUGGAAAAUAUUUUCUGGUGUUUGAUUGAAUCUGUGUAAAAUAUUUUCGGCUGUUUGGCAGAUUUCCUGGAAAUAUUUUUCGAAAAAAUUGUUUUUACUUGAUAUAUAUUAAUAAAUUUUUAUAUUUUAAAUUAUUUUUACAUAUAUUGCAAUGAUUUAUUUAUAAUAAUACUCAAUUAUUAAGCCACAAUAUUAAUCGUUAUAAAUUGAAAAAAAUUAAUAUCAAAUAAAUUAUUUGUAAUUGUGUUAAAAAAACAAGUAUUGAAUAAUUAAAAAAAUAAGUUACUGAAAAAUCGAUAAAUAAAAGCAAUUUUCUACCGGAAAUGAAGGAAGGAAUGAAGGAGGCGAUAGAGAGGAGAGCACGGAAAAUGUCUUACGGAAAUUGAAAGGGUAAGACAUUUUUCCUAAAAUGUAACCCAUUUUCUUUUGUUUUGGAGUUCAUUUUCCAAAUGGAAAAUGUUUUCCGCCAAUCAAACGCUGGAAAAGUUGGAAAUGAUUUUCCGGAAAAUCAAUUCCUUCAAUCAAACAGACCCUUUGUUAUCUUUUGGAAGGACCUGUAAAGAAACAAUUUUAUUAUAUUUACGUUCUGUAAUGUUUUUCAUAUUAACAUUAUUGAUGUUUCUAAAUUUACCUUCUGUAAUGUUAGAAUUAGUUGAAGAGUCGUCAGAUUCUGGAGAGGAAUCAAAUUUUAGUCAUCAGCAUAGGAUGGAAGAUGAGAAGUUGCUGUCAGCAGUGUUGGGAGAGCAAAGGAGAAGGUAAGAAGACUGCAACUCAAGAGGAUGAAGGCAAAUCAGAAAUGGGUAGAUGACAGAAUUGUGAAUAGGACUCUCAGAUUCUGGGUCCAAACUUAAGCAAUACUUCUAUGAUCUGGGAAGCGUGUAGAGAUCGACAAAUGAGUUUGCAGUGAUUGCUGCGGUCCUCUCCAACAAGGAGCCAAUUGUUUUGUAGACACAAUGGCUAUGGAUGGGAAGGAAAGUUUAUGGUUAAACUAUUCCCCUUAAAUUCACGUCAGUAUAAAAUAAAAUGUAAAUUAAUUUAAAAUUUUAAAAUACUUUUAUUUUAAUUUUUAAGUCAAGAAUUUUGAUGAGUUAAAAUUAUAAGAUAAAGGCUUAUUUAAUUACAAAAAUAAUUUAAAAACUUGUUUAAAUAAAGUGUAAUAAUUUAGCGGAAUUUUUAAUAUGUUGGCCAAAGAAAUUCAUCUAAGUAAGAAAUGAGAUUCAAUUGAAGCUAACAAUGAAGAAUGCUUUUAAUCUGCCCAACAUUAGACCAAUACAAAUAAUUGUAAGUUUUGUAAAAAAUCUUAGUUUUCUUUUUUAAUCUUUUUUCUAAUAGUUAGCCCAUUCUUUUUUUAAUCUUCGAUUAAUGAGCAGAAUUCACAUACUUUGUUUUUGCUUAUAGCUCAGUAAAUCUGUCUUCAAUUUAACGAAUAGAUGGUACAUAAUAACUAAUAAAUGGCAAUUUAAACGUUCACAAUGCUUAAUUUUCAAAUAGAAAUUACUUCAUUUACUGCUCCAUUCAUUUUAAAAUUCAAAAUGUCAUUCAUCUUCCUCUUCGGUCCAACAUAUAUCACUACCAAUUGGCCAUGCAGUUUCUUGAGCUGUAGCAGAUUCUUCCACUAUAAUUUCAUCAACUGAUUGGCUUGCCUGCAAAGCAAAUUAAACCUUCACUUAUUACUGUUUGCUUUUAAUCAUUGAUGCUGAAGAAAGCAAAGCCAGUUUUCCAAAAUUGGACAAAGGAUGACACAUUGAAAAUAAUAAUGCAACAAGGAUAUCUAGAAAGAAAUAUUGACAGCCAGCAGAAACUAAUUACAGCUGAUGCAAUUUCAUUUAGUCAUUUAAAGCAUUAAAAGAAAAAAAAAAGAAUUUCUCUCAGGCAACCAAAAUAAAAACAUUGCAUUAAUGCAUAGAAAUUAAAGCUUAGUAAAUAUAGAGUUCGGGAGAAUACAUAAAGAAAAUAAUUCAAUGGAUGAAAUUUGUUUUAAAGCUUAUAAUUGAGUUUGGAAGGAUAGUGUAUGAUGAAGUUGGUUCAGCAUGCAGCAAACUCGACAGCAUGCAGGCCAUGAAGACCAAGACAUGCAGGAGCUGCUGAUGCAAGCUUAUUUUAUUUAUUUUGUAAUUUCUAGUCAAUGAAAUGUAAUCUUAGUUCAUUUCUAACUAAGUUAGGUUGUUGACUGAUGUAAUUAGCUUAUGUAUGAGCUGUAAACACGAUUUUGUAUAGGUUUACAAGCUAAAAUUUCAAGUUUCCAUGUAAUUAGUGGGAGUAGGUGAUGUUUAGGUAAUUAUUUGUUGUUUUUGACAAGCUUAGUGCUUGGUUUAUGUAUUGGCAUUAUGCCAUUAUUCAAUUUGAUGAAUGAAGUUCAGUUUGUUCAUCAAUUUUUCUCUUCAUUUCUCUUAGCUUUUCUUCCUUUCUCUUGCUCGAAUUCUCUUGUUUGCUCAGCAAGUCUCGAGACUUGCUCGACAAGUCUGUGCUGAAUCUGUUAGUUUCAGUUACAGCACCAACAAUUGGUAUCUAGAGCCUAUUUCUUAAGGGAUCUGUUAUACAAAUACAUGGCUUCAUCAAGCUUUUCACCAGCUGCACCUCAAGUCUUCAAUGGAGAAGGCUAUCACAUAUGGGUGGUCAAAAUGAAGACCUACCUGCAGGCAUACGAUCUGUGGGAGGUGGUCAACUCAGAUGUUGAACCAGAACCACUUAGAGGCAAUCCAACAGUUGCUCAGAUCAGGCAGCAUGCUGAUGAGAGGACCAAGAGGCACAAAGCCAUGUCUUGCAUCCAGAACUCAGUGUCUGAUGUGAUUUUCACAAGGAUUAUGGCCUGUGAAUCACCAAAACAGGCCUGGGACAAGUUGCAGGAAGAGUUUCAAGGGACAGAGAGGACAAGGCAGCAACAUUUGUUGAACUUGAGAAGAGAUUUCGAGAAUUUGAAGAUGAAGGAAGAAGAAACUGUCAAGCAAUAUUCUGACAGGAUUAUGGUUGUGGUUAACAGCAUCAGGCUCCUUGGAGAGCAAUUCAAUGAAGCUAGGAUAGCGGAGAAGGUUAUAACAACUCUGCCUGAGAGGUAUGAGGCAAAAAUCUCAUCUCUCGAGGACUCAAGGGAUCUGUCCACCAUCUCCCUGACAGAGUUGAUCAAUGCUCUAUAUGCUCAAGAGCAGAGGAGAGUAAGCAGACUGGAGGAGCACCAAGAAGGUGCCUUUCAGGCAAGAACAAAUACUGCCUACAAAGGCAAGAAGGCCUGGAGAGACAAACCAAAGAAUGAUGCUGCAAUGAGAGAAGGUCAGACUUGCAAGCACUACAGAAGGGUUGGUUAUCCAGAAGAAAAGUGCUGGUUUAAUCCAGAAGCUGUAUGUCAGUAUUGUAAGAAGAAGGGUCAUGUUGAGAGAGUCUGCAAGAGUAAGACCAAAUCGAGGCAGAAUCAGUUUCAACAGAUGAAAGCUGAGGCUCGAGUAGCUAAGGAGGACAGUGAUCAAGAGGAGCAAGUCUUUGCUGUGUCAUGCUCAGCUGCUCAGGAAAGGUCCUCAUUUGGUUGGCUCCUAGACAGUGGAUGCACCAACCACAUGACACCUGAUGCUGCAAUCUUCAAGUCUUUAGACAGAAGCUGCAGAACUAAAGUCAAGAUAGGAAAUGGUCAUUUUAUUCAAGCUGAAGGCAAGGGUGAUGUGCUAAUAUGCACCCUUACAGGUACCAAAGUGAUUUCAAAUGUGCUGUUGGUGCCUGAAAUUGACAGAAACCUGCUCAGCAUAGCUCAGUUGCUGGAAAAAGGUUAUUCAGUUGUGUUUAAAGACCACCAGUGCCAAAUCAGUGAUCCAAGUGGAUCCAAACUGAUGGCAGUCCCUAUGGCUGAUAAGAGCUUUGUGGUUGACUGGACAAAAAAGUCAGACAUUGCCUACACAGCCACUUCAGAUGAAUCCAAGCUGUGGCAUCAAAGACUGGGACAUGCCAACUUCAGAUCGAUGGCCCGAAUGGUCAGAGAGGACCUGGCUGAAAAUUUCAUCAACUCAGUGGACCAUGAUGAUGUAUGUAAAGUAUGUCAACUAGGAAAGCAGGCCAGACUCCCAUUUCCCUCGAAUCAAGCCUGGAGAGCCUCUGAAAAACUCCAACUGGUGCAUACUAAUGUGUGUGGCCCUAUGAAGACUGAGUCAUUAAGUGGAAACAUAUAUUUUAUACUGUUCAUUGAUGAUUUUUCAAGAUAUUGCUGGAUUUACUUCUUAAAACAAAAAUCUGAAGUGGCCUCAGUGUUUUGGAAGUUCAAGACUGCUUCUGAGACUAAAACAGGCUGCAAGCUGAAGACCAUAAGGUCUGAUAAUGGGACUGAGUACACCUCAGCUGAGUUCCAAGCCUUCUGUGAUAAAGCAGGCAUCAAACAUCAACUUACCAACACAUAUACACCUCAGCAGAAUGGUGUAAGUGAAAGGAAUAAUAGGAGUUUGAUGGAUAUGGCCAGGUGCUUGAUGAUUCAGAAGAAUCUGCCUAAAGCACUAUGGGCAGAAGCAGUUAACACUGCAACAUACAUUCAAAAUAGACUUCCAACCAAGGCUUUGGAUCAGAAGACUCCAUUCGAGGCCUGGUUUAGCUUCAAGCCAUCACUGGCUCAUCUGAAGGUCUUUGGAUGCAUCUGUUAUGCACAUGUACCUGCUGUUAAAAGGGACAAAUUGUCUGAAAGGGCUCAACCUGGUGUACUGGUGGGCUACAACACUGUUAAGAAGGGCUAUAAGAUCUUGGAUCCUUCAACAAACAAGGUGUCAAUUAGCAGGGAUGUGGUAUUUGAUGAAAUGUCAUGUUGGAACUGGGAAAGACAUGAACCUGAAGAAGUUUCUGAAGAACUAGCAACAGACCAAGCUGAGCCAGACCAAAAUGUUCCAGAAAUGGACAUUGAUGAUGAACCAGUUAGAGGAACAAGGCCAUUGACUGAGAUUUAUGAAAGGGCUCAUGUAGCCAUAGCUGAACCAAGCAACUUUGAAGAGGCUGAGGCUCAGCAAGGGUGGAAGCAGGCAAUGGCUGAGGAGAUCAGCAUGAUUGAGAAGAACCAGACCUGGGAAUUGGUUGAAAGGCCAGUCAAAAGGAAGGUGAUUGGGGUGAAAUGGGUGUACAAAGUCAAGCACAAUGCUGAUGGAACCUUGAACAAACUGAAAGCAAGGCUAGUUGUCAAGGGGUUCAGUCAGAGGUAUGGCCUGGACUACCUGGAGACCUUUGCACCAGUGGCCAGGCUCGACACCAUCAGACUGCUGAUUGCCUUAGCAGCACAGCUCGAAUGGAAAAUCCAUCAACUUGAUGUGAAAUCAGCCUUUCUGAAUGGUUUCUUAGAUGAAGACAUCUAUGUUGAACAACCACAAGGGUUUGAAAUAGCUGGCAGAGAGCAUAUGGUCUACAAACUGAAGAAGGCCCUAUAUGGAUUAAAACAGGCUCCAAGGGCUUGGUACAGCAGAAUCGAUGGCUACUUGACUGAUCUGGGAUUCGAUCGAAGCAAGAGUGAGCCAACACUGUAUGUCAAGAAACAAGGGACACAAACACAACUCAUUGUGUCCCUGUAUGUUGAUGACCUUCUGGUGACAGGAGGAGAUCGAGCAGUGCUGGCUGAUUUCAAGACCAAGAUGCAGGAAGUGUUUGAAAUGUCUGAUCUUGGGGAGAUGUCCUAUUUUCUUGGAAUGGAGGUGUCUCAAGUACAUAAUGAGAUAUUUCUAAGCCAGAGAAGCUUUGCCACAAAGAUUCUGACCAAGUUCUCCAUGCAAAACAGCAAGGCAACUAAAACACCUGUUGCUGUUGGAGAAAAACUAUCGAGCCAAGGUGAUUUUGAGAAAGUAUGUGCAACAACCUACAGGAGUCUAGUUGGUUGCUUGCUAUACUUGACUGCCACUAGACCAGACAUCAUGUAUGCUGUAGGAUUGCUCUCAAGGUUCUCACAUUGCUGCAAUGAGAAGCAUUUCCAAGCUGCAAAGAGAGUGCUGAGAUAUGUCAAAGGCACUUUAAACUAUGGUUUGAAGUACAGCAAAGAAAGAAAUCUGAAGCUGGUUGGCUACACUGAUAGUGACUGGGCUGGCUCGAUAGAUGACAUGAAAAGCACCUCAGGGUAUGCUUUUAACCUUGGUUCAGCCAUGUUUUGCUGGAGCUCGAAGAAGCAAAGUCUAGUGGCUCAAUCUACUGCUGAAGCAGAGUAUGUGGCAACAGCAAGUGCUGUCAACCAAGCCAUAUGGCUAAGGAAAAUAUUGGCUGACUUGAAUGUGCAUCAAGAGGAAGCUACUGAGAUCUUCUGUGACAACCAAUCUGCAGUAGCAAUUGCUAAAAAUCCAGUGUUCCAUGGAAGAACAAAGCAUUUUAGCAUCAAGUUACAUGUUGUUCGAGAAAUGGAGCAAGCUCAGGAAGUAAAGCUGAUCCACUGUAAUUCAGAGGAUCAACUUGCAGACAUUUUAACGAAAGCCCUUAGUGUCACAAGGUUCGAAUGUCUAAGGAAGAAGUUACGUGUUUGCUCCAUGCAAACCAAGGAGGAGUGAUGAAGUUGGUUCAGCAUGCGGCAAACUCGACAGCAUGCAGGCCAUGAAGACCAAGACAUGCAGGAGCUGCUGAUGCAAGCUUAUUUUAUUUAUUUUGUAAUUUCUAGUCAAUGAAAUGUAAUCUUAGUUCAUUUCUAACUAAGUUAGGUUGUUGACUGAUGUAAUUAGCUUAUGUAUGAGCUGUAAACACAACUUUGUAUAGGUUUACAAGCUAAAAUUUCAAGUUUCCAUGUAAUUAGUGGGAGUAGGUGAUGUUUAGGUAAUUAUUUGCUGUUUUUGACAAGCUUAGUGCUUGGUUUAUGUAUUGGCAUUAUGCCAUUAUUCAAUUUGAUGAAUGAAGUUCAGUUUGUUCAUCAAUUUUUCUCUUCAUUUCUCUUAGCUUUUCUUCCUUUCUCUUGCUCGAAUUCUCUUGUUUGCUCAGCAAGUCUCGAGACUUGCUCGACAAGUCUGUGCUGAAUCUGUUAGUUUCAGUUACAGCACCAACAGUGUACCUGUGUUUUGGCAUGCACUGAUCGAUUUGAAUCAACACUAAAUCUUGUGGUUAUGUUGGGACAACCUUCUACUUGUAAAUCCGUUAAAAAUGGGAAAACAAAAUGAUAACCCACAUGACUAAAGCUCACGAGGUUUGGUAGGUAAUCAAGCGUUAAGGAGUAGAGCAGAGGUAGGCGUAUCACUUUCUCUUCUUCCUUAUUCAGAUUUGUCUCAUCUCCUUCAAACACCUGCUCUAAUUUGGGGACCCCUGCAAGGCCUAAGUCCCAUAGGUUUGGAAGACCGCCAUGAGCAAGAGUAAUGGGGAAGAUACAUUUCAAGUUUUCACAGUUACAGAUUUUAAUCCAAUUCAAUUUAGGGAAGCAGAUAGGUUGGAGAUGAUGUUGUGAUGAAGUUUGAUCCUUCUUAAUUAUUUGCUCCAAUUCCUCACAGUCAGAUAUCUGUAAAAUCCCCAAUUGUGGCAAAUUUCGAGCGAUGGUAGGUGAAAAGAUGUAUCUUAACCUUCUGCAGUCAUAGACUAGCAAUUGAGUGAGAUUUUGAAAGUGUUCAACUUGGAUGGGACCAGUCCAUAUCACCCGCAAUUCAGUUAGUUUGUGCAAGCCUAGGACACUCAGACUUGAAAGAUUAUAUCUAGGAUAUUCAAAUAACUAUUCAAAAUUGGAAAUUCUUAAAUAUUCCGUACAUGUUGAUGUUCCUCCUCUCCUUUCAGGGACUGUCACGUUGUUUAUUUGCUUCUUUUCUAUCAUCUCUGAGAACUCCAAUACCUAUAAACAUAUAAUCAAUUUAAGAAUAAGCACAAGAUUUCUUUUUCAAUCUUUUAUAGUCAAAGAAUUCAAAUUUUUAAAAAGUUUACUGUUCAACUCAAAUAAUCAUAAAUUACCAAAAAAAAACUCCAAAAAUAUGGUGCAAAAACACAACAUAAAUAUUAUUACGUAGUACUAGAUAGUGUUUACAAUAUAUAAUAUAUAUAAGAAGGUCUUACUUGUAUAUUAGUUGGAACGAUAAAAGGUGUCAAUUGAGGACAAUCUCUCACUUCUAACAAAUGUAAAGAUGGCGAUGUCAGCACGAUGUCGUUUCUACCCCUUCCUUUCAAUUGAGGCAAAUUAAUCAACACAACUUUAUUCAAUCGUGCAAGACCUUGAGACAUUGAGAUUAACACUUCUGGUCCUUGGAUUAUUUCUUGCAAUUGGGAACAUCUCUCUAUCCUCAGAGUUUGCAAUUGCCCAAGACUAUUAGCAACACACAUUGGGAAGAGAAAUUUCAACUUAUUGCAUUCUCUGACUUGUACUUCCCUUAGGCAUUGGAAGCUUAUGGUUGAUGCUUGUGAGUCUUGGAUUAUUUCUUCCAUUCCAAAGCAUCUCUCUAUCAUUAGAGUCUGCAAUUACCCAAGGCUAUUAGCUACUGACAUUGGGAAGAUAUAUUUCAAAUUAUUGCAUCCCUCUAUUUUAACAAUCUUCAGACUUUGGAGGCUUAAAUAACGACUGGGCCCUUCUUGUUCUAUGCUCCUCAAUUCAGCAAUUGGGAAUAACACUUGCAUCUCACCACAAUCUGAAACUAUAACCUCUUCAAGCUUUCGUAAAAACCCUUGCGGCUGGGGAGCAUUGCACAUCUCUUCCAAAUGAAACAUAUGACUUAAUGAUAACUUUCUCAAAUUAGAGAGUGCAGUGAUUGGCACUUGCUGCUUUGAUGCAUCAAUUAGGCAUUGCAUAAAGUGGCACUGUCGAAGAUUUAGAGAAGUCAACUUUCUAAAUCCCAAGUUCAAGCUCGGAAUAAGGUUUGGGUGACCCUCCACCUUAUUCAAUUGAAGAAAUUCUACAUCUUCAAGUAGUUGCUUGCAUGCAUCUACAGACUUAUAGAUUCUCAAAGAUCUUGAGAUUGGACAAGUUUCAAGGUCUCUCUUUUGGUACCACCGUUCUCUUUCUAUGCCAAUGCAAAAAUCAAAGGUCGGUAAUGUACGAAACACAAAGCCGUCUGGAAGAUGUUCAGAAGAAAUAUCCAAUGAUAUUACAACCAACUUUGGCAAUAAAUUCAACUCUGAUAGGCUGGAAUAGCUUUCCCUUUUAGUUGAAUUCUCAGUCGCCCAUUUUAAUGAACUACAACCAUGCAAGUAUAGUUCUUCUAAAUUGGACAAUCUUCGUAUUAAAUUAGGAGUGAUUCUUCGUAGUUCAUAGCAAUACGAUAAAUCCAACAGUCUUAGAUUUUCCAAAUCACCAGCUUCAGUCGGCAAUUCAGUGAUAUCAGAUCUACUUAAAGAGAGAAUAUGAAGUGUCUUCAGCUUCCCAAGCAUUGAGAUGUCAGAGAGUUCACAAUCAAUCAAACACAAAGUCUGAAGGUUCAUAUGAAACUGAAAUGUAGACAGAGAUAUCAACAGACGAUUCAAAGCACAAACUUGUAAUGCCUUCAUACCCUCAAAGAUUUUGCUUGAAGUUUCCAUGAAACGA